GAUAAACCUUUCCCGCUUGACACUGUCUGGACUGGUGACUUAUAAAACCAACCAUUAUAAAAAAAUCCAAAGCCCUGCCUGUAGCACCAGUCUUGGAGCCAACCAUUAAGAGACUGAAUUUUCCUAUUCCAUCCCACAUCGUCCCUUGAAGAUGGAAGGAGUGAAGAGAAGAUCACUUGAGCCCCUGAGUCUUUCACCAUCCUUCCCAAGACCUUGAAAUCAUUCUUCAUUCCCCUCAGACUACGGGAAGCAGCUUCCUCCCCAUCUGUCUGGAAGACCAGCAGCGGGUAGUAGUCUGUCGGGUGCACCAGUUUGGGGAGCUCUCUAGCAAUAUCCUUGAUCUGGGCUCCAGGUAAAUGACAAACUUCCCUAAGAUGGGGGUCAACUCUGCAUAUUGGGCCCUCUGUUCCUUUCAGAAGGGAAUUUCCUAUUACAAUCACCCUUCUUUCUUUCUUAUCAGAGGCAGUCUUAAGUUGUGAAGUCAACCACCUCUUCCUGUGUGAUCUUGUAGGCAGGCUUGGCACCACCUCCUCACCUACCUCUUCUUCAAGAUCCAGGGCCUCAAACCUAUUACGGAGAGGCACCUGGGGAGACAAAGCAGGCAGGGAGGGGGGCUGCCCGUGACGCCGAAGAUGGAGUAGAAGAGGUAAGCUCACCUGAAACUGAAAGUUUUGGUGGAUGAGAAGGACUCUUACAGCUGCCUGAGCAGCAGGAGUGGACUAAGGAACAUGUAGACCUGCUGAAGAAAUGGGUGGUAGGUCUCGUGAGAAAGGAAAUAGAAAAUCUUGAGUUACUCAACAUCUUUUCUUGCUUUUUGUCUACCAGCAAGAUCUGCUGUCAGGUCUCCUAGAUCUAGGUGGUUAGAGGCCAAGUUUGGGGCAUGGUAAAAGAAGAUUGAAUUAAGGACUUCUUAAGCAACCUAGACAUACACAGAAGUUCAUGGCAUUGAGUGAGAUGCAUCCAGUGCUACUGAGGGAACGUCAUUGUGAAGCCUCUCUGUGUGAUAUUUGAGAAGACAUGGUGCCUGAGUGAAGUACCUUAUGACUGGAAGAGGCAAGCAUUACAGCUGUCCUGAAGAAUGCUAAGGUGGACUUGGGGAACUUCAAGCCAGACAGUGUAAUUGAAGUCUCCAGGAAGAUAAUGGAGCCGUUCUUCCUGGAAGCCAUUUCCAGGCAUGUCAGGAGAAGGUGAUUUGGAAUAGCAGGCACAGAUUUACCUGGCCAACUUGUACCUGACCAACCUGAUUUCCAUGUACAAGGAUAUGAUUAGCAGUGUAUGGGAAGAGCAAAACUUCUGACACAGUCUCUUUUUACCCAAAGUGGAGAAACAUGCACUGGUUUGGCAGAUUACCAGGUGAGUGGAAAACUGACUGGACUGGUAGGCUCAAAGGGUAGGAGUUCAGGAUAGUGGCUGGUUAGGCAUGGCCAUCUUCAGGGCUUUAUCGUACUGAUGCUGACGUUUGAUGUCUUCAUCAGUCAUCCAGAAAAUAGGAUGAGUGCACCCUUAAGAAGACUGCAGAUGACACCAGAUUGGAGAGGGGAAUGGCUGAUAAGCUGGAGGGCAGGGCUCAUAUUCAGAGCUACUUCAACAAGUUGGAGAGGUGGACUGAUGGGGACCUUUUGAAGUUCAAAAAAGUCAGAUUCAGACUUCCUACACUUGGAAGGGAUCAGCCUCCUGCAACAGGUACACUGGGGAUUGAUGACUAGAGAGCUGCCAUGCAAAGCAGAAUCUGGGAAUUCUGGCAGACAGCAAGCUGAACAACAUGCCAUUGUAGCAAUGAAGGCCAAGCCCACUCUGGGCAUCAUUAGCAGACUCUGAACUGGGGGAAUUAAUUAACCUCCUCAAUUCAUUACUUGUAAGAUAGCAUCUGCAAUGCUCUCUGCAGUUUUGAGCUCACCAGUACAAGGAAGAUGCAGACAUCUACAACUACAGGCAACUACAGGCCUGCCAGCCUGACCUCGGUGCCUGGCAGGGUUAUGGAGCAGAUCAUCCUGAAUGGAAUCACACAGCACCUUCAGGAUGGAGAAGGGAUCAGACCCAGCCAGCAUGGGUUUAGGAGGGGCAGGUCCUGUCUGACCAACCUGAUCUCCUUUUAUGAUCAGGUGACCCACCUGGUGGAUGAGGAGAAAGCUGUAGACGUCGUCUAUCUAGACUUCAGCAAAGCCUUUGACACUGUCUCCCAUAAUAUACUCCUGCAAAAGCUGGUAGCCCAUGGCUUGGACAAGUGCACUCUACACUGGGUUAAGAACUAGCUGGAGGGCCGGGCCCAGAGAGUGCUGGUGAAUGGAGCUGCAUCCAGCUGGCGGCCAGUCACUAGUGGUGUUCCCCAGGGGUCAGUGUUGGGUCCAGUCCUGUUUAACAUCUUUAUUGAUUAUUUAGAUGAGGGGAUUGAGACCAUCAACAGCAAAGUUGCUGAUGACACCAAGUUUGGAGGGAGUGUCGACCUGCUGGAAGGCAGGAGGGCUCUGCAGAGGGAUCUGGAUAGAUUGGAAAAAUGGGCUGAUUCCAAUGGGAUGAAGUUCACAAGACCAAGUGCUGGGUCCUGCACUUUGGUCACAACAACCCCCUGCAGCUACAGGCUGGGUGCAGAGUGGCUGGAGAGCAGUGAGGCAGAAAGGGACCUGGGGGUACUAAUUGACAGGAAGCUCAACAUGAGCCAACAGUGUGCCCAGGUGGCCAAGAAGGCCAAUGGUAUCCUGUCCUGUAUCAAAAAUAGCGUGGUCAGCAGGACAAGGGAGGUGAUCCUUCCCCUGUACUCUGCAUUGGUGAGGCCACACCUGGAGUAUUGUGUUCGGUUCUGGGCCCCUCAGUUCAGGAAAGACAUUGAAGUGCUGGAGCGGGUCCAGAGAAGAGCAACAAGACUGGUGAAGGGACUCGAACACGAGACCUAUGAGGAGAGGCUGAGGGAGCUGGGGUUGUUUAGUCUGGAGAAGAGGAGGCUUAGAGGUGACCUCAUCACUCUCUAUAACUACCUGAAGGGAAGUCAGCCAGGUGGGGAUUGGUCUCUUCUCCCAGGAAGUUAGCAACAGGACAAGGGGGCAUGGGCUUAAACUCUGCCAGGGGAAAUUUAGGCUGGAUAUUAGAAAGAAAUUCUUUACGGAGAGAGUGAUCAAGCAUUGGAAUGGCCUGCCCAGGGAGGUGGUGGACUCACCGUCCCUGGAGGUUUUUAAACUGAGAUUGGACAUGACACUUAGUGCCAUGAUCUAGUAAAUGGACUGAAGUUGGACCAAGGGUUGGACUUGAUGAUCUCUGAGGACUUUUCCAACCCAGUCGAUUCUGUGAUUCUGUGUGACAUGCUGGAGGGAGUCUAGUGGUGAGCCACUGAGAUGGUGGCUGGAGUCCAUGAGUCUCUGCAUCCCAGAGUCUUGAGGGAACUGGCUGAUGUAGUUGCCAAACCACUCUCCAUGACAUUUGAGAAGUCAUGGCAGUCACAUGAAGUUCCUGGUGACUGGAAAAACGGAAACAUCACACUCCUUUUUAAAAAGGGUAGAGAGGAGGACCCUGUGAGCUACCAGCCUGUCAGCCUCACAUCUGUGCCUGGGAAGAUCAUGAAACAGAUCCUCCGGGAAGCUAUGCUAAGGCAUGUGGAGGACAGGGAGGUGAUUCGAGACAGCUAGCAUAGCUUCACCAAGGGCAAGUCCUGCCUGACAAACCUAGUGGCCUUCUAUGACAGAGUAACAACGUCAGUGCACUGAGGAAGUGUGUACACAUACGCAGGCAUGACGCAAGAAGAGCCAGAGGCCACGAAUGCAUUUGCAAAGAGCAAGUUUUAUUUUAGUUACCUCUCUACUGGGGGAUCUCCAAAGCCACACCUGAGCUCCCAGGCAGAGAUGACACCAACGGGGACGCAGGUGCUGGUAAGUUCAGCCCUGCUGGAAGAUCACCGGGCCUGCUGAGCUCGCCUGUAUUUCAAGGCUUCAGGCAGACACAGCCUCUUGCUUUUUCUCACAACAAAGCAGGAAUCUCAGACAUAGUGAUAAGGUGCCUAGAGUUUCUCACAGGGCUAUGUUAUCUAACAUGGAGGUUCUACUCAUCAAGCACACAAGGUCAGUAAAACAAUUAGUGUGAUGUAUGUGCUUUUUCUACAGACAGGUGCAAGUAGCUUAAGUGUAUUUACAUUUAACUAAUCUCGCCAAAUCUUCCGCUAUAUCCCCAUACAGAAGGGCUACUGAUGUUGUCUGUCUGGACUUCUAUAAAACAUUUGAUGUGGUGCCAUACAACAUCCUCUCUCUAAAUUGGAGAGGUGUGGAUUUGGUGGGUGGACUGUUUGGUGGAUGAGGAACUGGCUGGAUGUUUGCACCCAGAGUGUGGUGGUGAAUGGCACAGUGUCUGGAUGGACACCGUAACAAGUGAUGUGACUCAGGGGUCCAUACUGGGACCAGUACUAUUUAAUAUCUUCAUCAAUGACACAAACAUUAGGAACGAGUGCAACCUCAGCAAGUUUGCGGAUGGCAUAAAGCUGAGUGGUGCAGUUGACACUCCUGAGGGACAGGAUGGCACCCAGAGGGACCUGGAAAAGCUUGAGAAGUGGGCCCAUGUGAACCUCAUGAGGUUCAGCAAGGCCAAGUGCAAGGUCUUGCAGCGGGGCUUGGGUAACCUCCAGUAUCAGUACAGGCUGGGGGAUGGAGGCAUUGAGAGCAGCCUUGCAGAGAAGGACUUGGGGGUACUGGUGAAUGAAGGAUUGGACAUGAGCCAGCAAUGUGCACUUGCAGCUGUCGCCUUUUACUGCAGGGUGACAAUAAAUCGUGGCAGACCUUCUCUGUUAAGCCACCCACCCUCCCCACUAGGAAAGGUAAAAGGAGGAAAAGGGAGAGAGACUUACAAGUUGGAAAAAAUUAAAAAUGCUUUACUAAUGCUAACAAUAAAUAGAGAAAAUAAUACAAACUAUACAAAAGCAAUCUUGAGUUUCACGGAGCUGCCCGCGGCAGGGCUGGUGUUGCUCCAGCGGCUGCAGGGCAGGCACCCAGAAGUCCUGGGCUGGACUCUGCAGUAAACUGGUACUUGACUCAGGGAUGCAGGGUCUGGAACCAGUCUCAGAUCGCAGACACGACAGGCAGGUCCUCUUCAGAUGCUGGCCAUCGUCGAAGAGAAUGAGACCCUCGUGAUCUCCCACUUUUAUAGUGUGUAUGAGGUGUAUGGGAUUAAAUACUUAGUUCGUCAGUUUUAGUCACCUGUUCUGUCUUCCCCCCUCCUUGCAAGUAAGCCCCUCUCACCUAUGGGAUGUGCAAAAUUUAUCAGUAACCUUGGCUGCCAUAGCAAUAAGUGUAUACCUGUGGCUCUUCUGCAUACCGUUGCUACCAUUAUCAGCUCCAGAGUGAACUGUGUCUGAAAAAACAUGCAGCCAGAUUCAGAAAAGUGCAGUUACUCAGAACUUAGCUGAAAGGAAAAUUCACUGAAAGAGAAACUGGUCUUGUUUUAAACAAAACCAGGGCAGCAGCCCUGAAGGCCUAUUGUAUCCUGGGCUGCAUUGUGGCCAGCAGGUUGACGGCCAUGAUUCUGCUCCUCUGCUCUGCUGAGACCCCACCUGGAGUCCUGUGUCCAGCUCUGGAGCCCUCAGUACAGGAAGGACAUGGACCUGUUGGAGAGGGUCUAGAGGAGGCCACCAAGAUGAUCAGAGGCUGGAACAGCUCUCCUGUGAGGACAGGCUGAGAGAGUUGGUUGUUCAGCCUGGAGAAGAGAAGGCUUCGUGGAGACGUUAUUGCAGUUUUUCAGUACUUAAAAGGUACCUGUAAGAAAGAUGGGGACAGACUUUUUAGAAGGGCACGUUACAGCAAUACAAGGGGUACUGAUUUUAAACUAAAAAAGGUGAUUUAGGCUAGACAUGAGGAAGAAAGUUUUUACAAUGAGGGUGGUGAAACACUCCCAGUCUGCUCAUAGGGGUGGUAGAUGCCCCAUCCCUGGAGACGUUCGAGGCCAGGCUGGAUGGGCCUCUGAGCAACCUGGCCUGGUUGAAGAUGUUCCUGCUUAUUGCAGGGAGGUUGCACUAGAUGACUUUUGAGGGUCCAUUACAACCCAAACUAUUUUAUGAUUCUAUGAUAUACAGAGAGACUCUGAAAAACUGGGUUGUUUUGUCUUGAAGAAGGGAUGGCGUGGAGGGUGCUUUCUAGUUUAUGUUUUCAGCAAUCUAAUGGGUGAUAGUAGAGAAGACAGGUUCCUGGAGGUGCAGAGGGAAAGGAUGAGAAGAAAUGGGUUAAUAUUACAGGAGGAGAAAUUCUGAAUAGAUAUUAGGAAAAAGUUGUUCACUGUGAGUGGGGCUCAAAUGCUGGAGCAGGUUGUUGGCAUCUUCAUCCUUGGAGAUGCUCAAAGCUUGACUAGAAAAGCCCCUGAGCGAUGUGGACCUGACUUCAAUGUUGGCUCUCAUCUGAGCAGUAAAGUGGAGUAUGCAGUCUCCAGUGCUGGAGAGAAAGAGAAGGUCCCUUCCAACAUUCUUCUAUGGUUCCAUUAGCAGCAGCAUAAAUUUACAAUGAUUUACAAUGAAGUAAUGGAAGCAAAAAGAGAGCCACAAGACAAAAAAGCAAAAGGCAAAAUUGCAGAACUGAAAUAAAAAGUGUAUGAGAGAGAAGAGUCAGCUGUAUUUGAAGUUCUGUAGUUUUGAAAGUGUAAAUUUGCAUAGGUAAGACUUUUAUGUUUGUAUAGAAUUUAUGACAUCUUACUCCUUUUGUUUUGAGACUGGGAGAAAAGCCAUAUGAAGCUGCUCGUUAUUAGCCACAAUUAAUUAGAAAUCAGUCUCUGGAAACUACAGGAUGUUUCAAAAAGAUGGCCCCCAAGACCCUCAGACAUUACACUCUUUGACUUUUUCUUGUGGGGGUACAUCAGAUAUCAUGUUUUUGUGCCACCAUUACAGACUAAUCUGGAUGAGCUAAAAAACAGAAUCACAGCAGCAGUGACCUCAGUGGAAGAAGACACUUGGAGGGGCAUUUAGGACAAAUUCAACUAUUGUCUCGGUUUUGUCUGUACAGCAGGUGGAUGGAACAUAGAACAUUUAUAAAAAGGUUACUGAAACUUGAUUAUUCAUUAAACCAUUUGUAAGUUUUCGCGUAAUUGUAGCUUGUUGCCAUUGUGAAAUAUACUGCUUUGAAAUUGGGUCCCUCUUUUUGAUGGACCGUAUUAAUCAGAAUGUGGAAUACACUUAUUUCAAACACCAAAGGAAAAUAAAUGGAGAAAAAGAGAAUCAGAGCUGUUAUGAACAGACUGCAUUUUCUGUCUUGAAAAAUGCAUGAUUGUUUCUAGCUUACAGGACAUAAAUGGUAAGAGAAUGUGGAUAAUGUCCCCUGUCCCCUUUCUAUCCCCUGAUGGACUGCAACUAUCUUGGGAUGUCAAUCAGUCACUGUUAAUCCCUGUGUGAGCUCAGACAAUAGUGCAGUUUUCAACCUUGUUACCUAUAAAUGAGUAUGCUCUCAUUUUCUCAGCUGAUAGACCUGAUAUUCACACUGAUAAUGUUGAUAAAGUCAGAUAAUUAGUGAUAGUGACUUAAAAAAAACAAACAAAAACACCCUAAAAUGGUGCAACUUGCAGUCUACCUAAAAUUUUCAUUUUAUAAAAUAUUUUGAGAGUUAAGUGAGCUGGUGGCCAUCUCAAAUGCUCACUUGAUUUAAAAUAUAUGCAUAAUAUGUACAUGUGUUACUUGGCUUAAAAAAGAAAGCAAAAUGUAAUGUAAAUGACUUCUUGUUUGCCUUUACACAGUGUCUGGACCUUUGUCGGCUGCACAGCAAUCCCAGUGGACUGCUGUUUGGAUAGCAAGAGGCCAGUUCUGCGCUGCCUGCCAGAUUGCCCACAUCAAAGAGAACGACAACAUUUCUGCCAAGUCAGGUCAAAAGUUUUUACAAGAGAAGCAGAUUUUGAAAUAAAAACUUUUGGUCAGAUUCAUGUGCUUAACACGUUCUGCCUGAUGUUCCUCUUGUGUAGCUGCAUACAUUUAAAUAUGAUGAGUUAUCAAAAUAGUAAUUUUUUAAUUGGAAAAAAUGAAGAAUGAAUGUCUACAUGUGGUUAAAAAGGUAGAUUCUUAUGUAGUUUUGUUUUACAGUACUUUUAUAAUAAACUUUUAAAAAAUAUGCAUGAAGAAGUAUCAGUACAUAGUUUAACUGUGAAAAGGUACAAAGCAUAUUUAUAUAUGUUGUAUUAAUGAUAAGCUGUCUGGGAGUGGUUACAGCCAAACAAAAAGCUGUUCUGUUAGUGUGGUAGUCAAACUUCAGCCCCCAAACUUCAGGUUGAAUCUUAGUCUUCCUGUGUUUUCCUGUAUCUAGAAUAUUUAGGAAAGCUCACUACUACUUUGCUUAUGUUUAUGAAAAAGUGGAAACAAAGGUGAUGUGAAUAUACUUGCCAAUACUGUAGAUUGUAAAUCUUUGCAGCACAACAUUAAUUUGUUUGGUUGCUAUUGUGAUGUAAUCACAGGAUAAGUUAAUAUUUUGUGUGUUUUCUGGAUUUUUCUCUCUUUUGAACUUCUGAUUCAGGAGAACUUGUAGUGUACCUCGAUUAAGGAAUUGAAAAAUUGCAGUAGUUGGUGGGUGCAGGUAUUUCAAACAUUCUUCACUGUCCUGAAGGAACUGAUCAUUGACUGUUCCCUGGCUAACCUGGUCACUUGCGGCCAGCCAUUAAAAUUCUACCUCUUUUCCUGCCCCAAACAAAGUAAGUUACUGCUGGCUAUCCCUACAUUUUUCUUACUUAUUAUGGUCAGCCUGAACUUCAUGGGAGUUCCCAUUUUUAAAAACACUGGGAUAGAUUUAAAAACAAAGUAACUUUUCAUCAGUCUUUCACAAGGAUAUAUUUUAUUAGUAGCUUAUCUUGAGCUGCUAAGACUUAUGAAAUAAACUGCAUCUGAUGUGUUUCAAAGGUAAUGUGGCAAAAUGAGGUAGAAAAAUAAAGACAUUACAAAAAUGAAUACAUUGCAAAUGGAACAAUGUCUAACUGAACAAAAUAGAAUAAGAAAGAUGGGGAAUAAUAAUAAAUCUAAGGAUUAUGUAGUGUAAUGAAAAGGAAGAAGGUGAAUUUUAAGACAGAUAAGAGGAUGAUGGGAAAUCAGGACUGAGAGACAGGAGACUAAACAAAUAUAGCUUACUGAACUUGACUUCCAGUCAAGAUGUUAGAAGAUUCCAGUAAGUAUAAUUUUAUGCAUGUUUUAUUGAAGCACUUUUCAAAUGCUCUUAACAAAAUUUUGCCUUUGUCAUUUACACAGGCUUGAGUUGGAACUCUCUGAGAACUUCUAAAAAUUCCUUAUGGCCUGUCUGGCCACACUAGGACAUAUUAAAAUACAAAAUUCUUGUGGUAGUGAAAAACACAUUGGUUCCCAAUGAAAGACAUCCUGAUUCUAGUGUGUGCUCUGUAACUGAAAUAAUGUGUACUUUGGCAAGUGGGUAGAACGAAAAAUGCCACACACAGGUAUCAAGAGUGAAAUAUCACUGUCUCUUUGUUACAAAUUGGCAUUCUGUCUUUUCAAUUAGAGAAUAAUCUAGUCAAAAGGCAGAUAGAAUUUCUGAGCCAAUUUUCCUAAAUGUGCUUCCUAGGUCGGACCACUUGAGGGCAGCAUCAGGCUAUUGUUAAAUUCAGCCUCUGCUGUUUCAACAGGGGCCUGCCGUGUGAGGGCUUUUCACUUCAUCGUAACAGAAUGUGAAUGCUAAUAUGAAGUCUUGUAAAAAUAAGUGAUUCAGCUUUUAACUGGCUUCUUCUAUGAUGCAGAAAAUUUAUUGUUUGCAGAACUGCAUGCAUCAGUUCAGCAUGGUUGAUGUGGUUAGAUAUCCUCUUCCAGAGUUUUAGCUUUUAAUUAAAGCACAAUACAAUCGUAAGAGCUGCUGUGUGAUAGUUCAGAAAAAAAUCUUGCUGGUGCCCUUGUGCAUCAUACAUUUAUUGCCCUUGAGAAUUUGUCAUGUACACUCAUGUUUAUAUGAAUCUGAUACAUUACGGAGGGUCUUUCCGAGAAUUACCAAUGCAAGUGGUAUCAAAAUUAUCUUUGUUUCAUGUUUUGGAGGUGGAAUGUGUAAAAACUUACCUUGAUAUCCAAUAAAUUGUCACUGCAUGCACAUAAAACAUAGCUGGUUACAUAGCACUUUCCUGUAGAAAUUGUGCUGUUGCUGUCUCAUUAUUCAGACCAGUACUGGAUUAUUGCAGUGUGUCAUUACAUUUCUAGAACUGUAUUCAGAACAUUCAGGGGGAAAGGACCAUAAAAAAAUCUCUGAGUAAUAACUAGAAGUAGACUUAACAACCACUUAACUGUAGUUUUCUUCUUAACCGUGAUUAUAUAACAAAGUAGUUUUUCUUUCAGAAAUGCUUUGGAUAUAAGCACAAUAUUAUAAAACCCCCUACUGAAUGAUGCUGACAGUUGCUUAACAUUGAUCAAGUUUUUUGAAAUCAGUCUUUAGAUGGAGGGCUGCAUUUCAGUCAGGAGGAGCAUUAAUGUGUAAAAUUAGUGACUGAAUGCCACGUGUUUUCAAAGGUAUUCUGAAUCUCACUGGUCUUUUUUUGUUUUCCCUUUCCCCUUCAAGUGGGCUUCUCAUGUCUAAUUCACUAGCUCCUUCCAUAUGUUUUGAUUUAAGCUACUGGUGCUGCCAUACGUGCUUCAAAACCUUAAUGAAGCAGGAAUCAUUCCUGUGUAUUUCAUGGCCAAACACUGCAAUUAACUGAGAGAAGAAAUAAUUUGACUUACUGUAUCUGCUAAGUAGUAAUGAUUGUAAGCAAAGGUCUUGGGCUAUAGAGAUCGGGGAAAAAAAAAAAGCAAGCUAUAGAAAGCUGCUGUGUGAAAGUAGUUUUGAUUUUGAGAGAAAAUAAGAAAGUGAAAACAAAUCUUGUAGUCUAAAGCAGGAUUAUGAAUGAUUCUAGAAUCAGAUAAGAGUUGAGUUUGACUGUUAUUUUGCCGUAUUGUUAGGGGUUAGUAACUCUCAAAUGAGCAGAGACUAUCUCUUAAGAAGUCCUAUUGUCUUGGGAGACUGUGGAUUAGAGUGAAAAAGACCAUAUUCUGUUUCUUUUUUCCUAAAGUUACACUACACCUAACUAACUAUCCGAGAUUGAUUGCUGAACUGUGUGGUGUAUGGGCUGGGCUGUGACUUCUGCAAAUGGGAAAAGCAUCUGCCUCAAUACUGUUAGAUGCUAUCUGACCCAGUGUAGUAGCAGGAGAUUUAUUGUGACCAUUAGUGAUGGUCACUUACUACCUAACUGCUUGUUGCAGGACAAUGAAGUUCUGGAGCUGUCAGUCUGCUCUUCUUAGGAAGUUUAAUGCAUUGCAUUGAGAUAUGCAAGUAUGGGGCAGCUCACAAGAUGAGGUCCUUGAGCUGUCUGAUCUUCUAAGCAGAGGGGCCUGUUUGUUUACCAGAGCAUCAUGAGUAUAUGUGGUGCUAAAUAAAUUAUUCCAGAUAAACGAAAAAAAUAAUGCAGAAGUGCUGUCCUUAGGUUAGCUGCAGACCUGUCUUUGAGUAGAAAGCAUAGUAAAGAAAUGUGUCAUAAUUCUGAAGUUGAAAGUUGUAGCAGUAAGUAAUAAAAACUAAUUGAAGACUUGUAUUUCAGGCUAUACUGCUUCAUUAUCUGAAAGUAUCCUUCUGAGUCUAUAAGAAAAAUAUAUUCUGUUUUCUUUUGUGCUUUUUCCUAGUUGCUGCAUAUGUGUGUGUCUGAACACUGCUGCUAUUAAAACAGCAGAAGCCACAACAUAAAACUUAUUCAAGGAAUCACGAACUGGAUGUGACUUUCAACACAAUAUGCAUCUCAUUUCCACCUUUAAGAUGUCAGUGGUUUGAAAAGGUAAAAAUGAAGUAGAGAAAGAUAUGUUUUCUGAAUCUUAAUACCUACUUCAAAAUACCUUGGGAAUACUCAAGAUGCAAAUUGUUUUAAAGAAAUUUAAUAUUUGAUUCAAAAUACUUCAGGAAUACUUCUUUCAAGCUGUACAUUGUCUUAAGGGUUUUGUUAUUGGGUGAAAAAAACCAACAGGAACACCAACAGCAAAAGAAACCCAACCAGUGUAGUGAAACCUGAUAUCCACAGUUUGUCUGUCUGAAAUGAGGAAUGACAUCUGUGGCUUCCUCUCCCUCACUGCGGCAAUCUGUUGACUCCUUGCAACUUUUUCAGGUUGCAGAGGUCUUCAGGGCUUGCUUUAUACAUGGGUCCUGCACUCGACAGAGCUCCUACCAGUUUGAAAGAAAACACAUUGCUUUGAAUACCUUAAUUCACUGGACAAGAUUUUCCAUUCUCUGUAGUGCAGGUGCUUUCAGAAUAUCAAGAAGUGGUAGGUGACAAGCAAGGAAGACUUGGGAAAUAGGUGAGACUAAAAGGCGUUUAAAUUUGAGGUGUAACAGCAGCUCAGGAAAAAUAUUUUCCAGUUAGCUCUUGCAAUCCUUGUAAACCAUUAGAAGAUGCUGCUGGUGAAGCACACGUCUGAGUGUACUUUUAUUUCCUUCUCGUACAUGAUGCAGUAGGAAUUAAAGCUGAAAUCUUAAUUAUGUUUGGGCCUCAAAGUAAGACCUUAAAAUUUUGCCCAGCUGCUUCAAAAAUAUCCUGUGUCUACAGAGCAGCAUAGUUAAUAAAAUAAGAAAAGUUGUAGGGACAUUUUAGUAUUUGAUUAAAACAGCUGGUAUGAGAGGGAAACAAACCGGCUUUUGUUCUUGGAAGCUUUCUUCAUGACUGCUGUAAAAGCUGUAGAACUGCUUCUUCUGCUAUAUGAUUACUUGCAUUAACAGCCUAAUCCAGGUGAUAGAAAGCCCAAACAGAUGAGAUGCAUUACUGGAUCUGUUGCUCACCAGUGUUGAGAAACUUACUGAAGGAGUCUAGGCUGAUAGGAGCCCGAGCUGCAGUGAUCAUGCCCUGGUGAAUUGUGAAUACAAUAUUUUUUUUUCUUAUUUAGAUUUCUACUUUAGGUUGGUUAAAUGAAAGCUGCAGAAUGAAAAAAACCACUGGUUUAGCUCUGACACUUUUGACCACUAUAACAGGGAAAAUUAGCAUUCAGGUGCAGCUUUGUUAUUUUUAUGUUUUCCCAGAGAAGAGAUGUGGAUGAGAGACUGAAAAUGGAAAAUUGAUUUGGGAACAGUCACUUUUCAUUUACCUAGAACCUCUAAAUAGAUUAUGAAGGCAUUGGACCGGUAGGGAAAUACAAGGCAGCCUUGGGAUGCCUGGCAAUUCAGGAAAGGGGAGUCGUGAGGGGCAGUAGCUCUGUAUGCUGACCUGAAGGACUGUUCAAACUCCCAUGAAAAAAUCAGUCAGAAAACCACGGCUCUAUUUUGCAUCUUUCCGGAAUGUGUGAAUUUCCACAUUUUUGCUCAUUUCUGUGUUGUUUUUGAAAAGCUCUGACUUUCUUUGUGCUACAGUGGUUUCAAGUGUUCGUAUCUAAAAAUGUGAAGAUACUGGACUCCCUUUAUUUUUUUCCAGUGAUGUGGACCCAAACCCAGACUGCUGCUAGCACUUGCUGUUCUUUUAGGUAUGCUCUGAAUCAUACAGGAGCUUGGACUGUACCAAGCCUUAUUCUCUUAGAGGAAAUGGGUUUUGGAGUAGUCUGGUUGACUAAACUUAUUUUGUAGUGGAGGUAUUUUUGGUGACCUUUUAUCACUGACUGAGAAGUUCAGGCAUCAAUUGUUCACUAGGCAGCUUUUGGAUAGUCUUUGCAUUCAGUUUGUCGUAAUAUGAAAUGCUUUUUCUCAUCCUCACUUGAGGUAGUUUUGAUACUAAGCUGUUGGCUGAUUCAUAGUUUUUUAAUUCAGAUACAGCAGAGUGCCUCUGUGGGAAAACAGGAUUCAUUCCUCCUUUGUAUCCUGUUGCUGGCUUUCAUGAGGCUACAUUUGUAGGAGUGUCAAAAAACAUGCACUUAUAAGUAAGAAGCAAUUUGAGCUUACAAGAAUUCUUUGUAAGAUAUUCAGAACCCAGCUCUGCUAAUAAAUGAAAAUAACCAGCACCCUAUUUAACACUGGAUCCUGGCAGGGAAAUGAGCAGAGCACUACUUGAGAUCAGAAAGGAGACAAUUACUUUAAUAAGAGCUUUGUCUUGCUGUUAAGUGCAAGCUGUCUUCCAUCUAAGUUGGAGCACUUGCAAUGCAGAGACUGUUAGCAGGGUUAAGAGCAUUUCACAUAUUACAUUUAAUGCUGAUUUUUCCAGAAAACAGCAGAUAGCUAUUGUAAAAAGGACACACACACAAGCUAUGGAUUAUUUUCUGUGUAUUUUUAUGCUACUUCUAAUGUGAGCAUUGAAUGCUGCUUUUAAUGUGGGCAUUGAUGUAUCCAUGUUCACCAAAGUAUCAAUCACUACUAUGAAAGCUAGUUGUGUGAUUUAAUACUAGGUGCUUCUCUGCUAAUUUGUGUUUUAGUAAUUGGAAUUACUUUGGGGUAUUUCAAAGAUGCUGACCAGAAUGCUGAACCUACUGAAAGGUUUUGGUUAUCUGUAUGUAAAGAAGUAUGUUAGUGUGGGCUUCUCUACACUGCUUCCCAAUAUACCUGAUCAAAAGAGUGAAUAGCUAAUGAAUGUGUCAGUUCUUGACCUGUCUGCCACCAGUGGCAAAGUGAUAAAGUUUGUCAGUGAUAAAGUUUGCCAGUCUGUUUGAUAUAGGUGAAUUGUUUUUGACCGUCUGUUUAGGGGCGUAGUUGCUAAAAAGUAUGGAAACAAAGAGUAUAUUCCUCUGGGCUUGUAUGUGCUGAUUGGAAGGCUCAGGGCAGCUUGAAGGAGCCAGUGCCAAACUGUCAGAGGCCCUAGUAAGGCAGUUCAUGGGGGGAACCCAUCUAGCAAUAUUUGGGGUGAGCCAGAGGGGGGGUUGGGAGUUGAGAAGGUAUACCAAAAGCAGGCCCCACUGGUCUGACAACAAGAACAGCUUGGGAGCGCUGCUGUGACUUUGAGAAGAGCAAAGACAGUCUAAUUUAUGAGAAGUCAUUGUUAGUCCCUGGAGAAGAGCAAAGAAUCAGAAGGUUGCUGUCUAGUAAUUUUAAUAUCCUUUCCCAGGUUAUUUGUUGCUAUUGGGCAGCUCAUUCUGCAUCAUGCCUAGCAGAGGAGCUACUCAGUUUCUAGAGCCACCCUGUAUCUGCCUGUGCUAUUGCCAUUUGUUUUGUCAGCAACCUUCUGAUAACAAGUUUCUGUAAAUGAAGCCCAGUGGUAGUGAGGGAAGAGACUGUGACAGAGGUUCUCCCAAUAAGACUAAUGGCAACUAUGUUUUCUAAUCUGGGGAGGAAUUUAUCCCCUUGUUAUGCUGGCAGAAAUGAAGGAAUUCUGUCAUUUGGGGAAAUAUUCCUAAUUUACAAUCUGUGUGAUAGACCAUGAUUGGUGCUUUCCUGCAGACACAGGUGGAAGUGCUAGGCAAGGGUGAUGAAUAAAACAUGGAAGCUAAGGUUUACUCUAUGUUUCUGAUAUGGCAAUUUGUUCAUAGUAUUUCCUGAAAAUUAAUUAAUACACAGGAAGCAAGCUGAUUCCUGAUUGUUCAUACAUAGUGCAAUGACAAGGUAGAAAUAAACAAAAUAAUUAGACAAGCUUCAUUGUUACGGGAAUGAGACUAACAUUUGUUUAUCAGUCUUUGAGGUAUACUCCUACCAUCCUGCAACUGGAAUUCACAGUUAAACAAAACCUAUAUUAAUCCCUCUAACACGGUAUUUGAUUGGUGUGUGCUGUGAGCCUUGAAUAGUUCCCAGCGUACGUGCUGCACGGACCACAGUGUCUGUCUGUACUGAAUCCACUGUAAUGAACUGCCUUGUUUUUUGUGAUCUGGUGCUGCGAACAAUAUAUAUUGGACUUUCCAAUUAUUUUUUUGCUAUUGUUUCUUUCUGUUGGUUAAGCCGUAAAAGUAGUCCCCCUGGCUUACAAUAUAAAAAAGAAUUGUGUUUAUUGUGCAAAAUAUGUUUGAUGCCCUGACCAUUGUUUUUUCAGCUCUGAACUAUUGUCCCUCUGUAAAGGCUGAGUAUCAUUAUCAUGGCACCAGAAAUAGAGAUAGACUCUCCUGACAGAAGGUAAAAUUCAUAGCCUAAGCAAUGAGCUUCACGGACAUCAACACAUAGAUUCAAUCUGCUGCUUGAAUCUGUUAGGAGGAAGUGCCUGGAAGGUUUUAACCACAGGACAGAGAGAGGUAAUGUCUUCUGUUUGGGAUUCAUGGAUGCAAAUCCAUGUGUCUGUGACAAAUCAGAUGGUCUCUUUUCUUUCAAGAAGAAGAGGAGACAGGAUGUUCUUUCUUCUUGUGUAACCAUGGAUUACCCACGGCAGUGAAGGAAACCAUGCACCAUUUAAAAUGUGUGUAUUGCAGAUGUCAGAAGUGAAGUGAGAUUGACGCUCUAGAUGGGGGAUUCAGUUAAGCAGGAGAAAGCAGCUGAGUAGGGGCUUUGUGAGUGCCAGUGCUACUGAUCCAGUGGAUUUGAGGUAGACAUGUGGAUUUUGCUGCCCUUGUAGUUUUAACCUAAAGGUCUAGCAAGAAGACCUCUGGUUCUGGCUGGUAUUUCUUGAUACUACCAGAAUAUGAAUAAUAAAUCUCAGUAAGAAUACACUACAAAUAUUAGCCCUUUUUAAUCAGUCAUGCCUGCUUCCUCCUCACUGGAAGAGUGAGGCAAUAAACUUCUGUCUUUGUAUCUUGACUUUGGGAGAGGUUAAGAAACAAAUAAAAGGCUAUAAAUUAGCAUAGCACCACUUCUGGUCACAUGGGAUUUUACAUUCAAGAACUGCAAAAGGCUGAAGCAACAACUAAGUAUGGCUUUGCAAACGUUCAAAUGCUGUAGUCAGACUUUUGAAGCAACUUUAGGAGAGGUCCUGAAGCCUGUUACUUUUGUUUGAGAUUAGUUUUCCUCCCAAAGAUGAAAGAUGUUAAAUGCUCAGUUGAAUGAUUUUGUAAAAUUCCCAGAUCUUAUUGUCCUUGUGGACAUUGCCACUAGUACCUAAGCUGUAUCCGAAGCUGUCAUUUUGAGUUUGGCCUUUGUAUGCCUUGUCUGUCCAUUUUACUGCUUGUGAUAACUCACAGUUUUUCCAUUGACUCAUUUGCUUUUAGACCUUCCAACUGUGAGCUUAUGAAGUUGCAAUCUGCAGCUGAAAGAUAACCAUAACUGGUUAGAAAAUGCAAAAUGUGCCUUAGAGGCACCAAAUCUUGGGGUGACUGUUAAGCAGAAACUAGGCCACUUUACAUGCAGCGACUGCAGGUUUUAACAUGUUCCAGUGCUACAAACUACUGCUGCUGAAGUAAGAAAUUGCCAGUGCAUCGGGACCUUCUUGCUGCAAAUCCUUAUCCCUAAAAACUGUUGUCACAGAAAGAAUGGAUACUGUGCACACAAGCUGCUAAACUGUGCUUCCCUCCUUCAGGGGUGGUGGUCCCGUCCUGUGUUUGCUACUGAGAUAGGCUUUAGGUCAGCUCUGUGCGCUGCAGAUUUCUUCUGUUGUUGUGUGGGUGGUGUGGAAACUGAAAAAGCAGUAAGAUAAACCACUGCUUUUUCUAAUUUCAUUUUUUUCAGUUUGUGUGAAUGCCUUUAUUUAGUAGGAUCAAACACACAUAAAGUAGAUGCUACAAUCCUGUGUUCAAUUUUGUUUUGUUAAAUGUUAACUCUUUGGAGUGGAGCCUGUGUUCUCCUGUGUUUUAUAAAUCCCCAUGUACCUUCAGUGAUGUAGAAAUUCUUAGUCGUAGUGGAAGAGGAAACUAAAAAAACGUCAUGAGAAGAUCUAUGCAUCUGGAAGCACUAAAUCUAGUGAAAGGAUUUCUGAAAGCUCCCAAGUCCAUUAACAUUUCUAAUGGCUAGAGUUAUUGUUCUUGCACAACAUGGGUUUAAGCUGAUCUUUUCCAGUGUUCUCAUUCCAAAAUGAAUCAUCUUUGGAGGUUUAAAGACAAAUGUAUUGUUUUCAGGCAGGGGUCUAAAUAUCUCAAACACAAUUAUACACACAUAGAUAAAUCUAUUUAUAGCUGGCUAUGGAUCAGUUUCAUUUUUUCUGUUUUGUGUGUUUGUUACUUUUUGCAGCUGCAAAAAUGUUGGCCUGAUACAAAGGAACUUGCUUCUUAAUAAUCUUAAGACAUAUUCAAAUUGUAAACAGGCAGCAGUGCACUUUAAAACUUUGUAAUUAGCUAAAGCUUUACUGAGCUUAAGAGGUGCAUGCUUAUCUAGUCCAAGGAAGGCUGCCCUUCCCCUCUCCUUGUCUUCCAAGGUAAGGUGAUUCUACUGGAGAAAACAGUCAUAACAUCUCCUGCUGGAGCUUGGUAUAAAGUAUGAGAGACCCAUGAACUGUAGAGUUUGCUUUACGAUUGGGUUGAUUACAUCUUCCUGUAGAUCCGAAGUCCUUUAAAGAACUUUAGGAAAUGCUGUGCAAUAUGGUCUUCUGAAGAUGGCUUUGUCUCUAUUGGAAAUGCAAUUCUCUUUCGUUUGGGCAUGUGGAAGGAGUAAGUUGCAGCAUGCUUGUGUGUUAGACACAUAUGUCUGUCCCUGGGAUUGAUUGUAAAUGCGAAAUAGUAAAGAACAAUACUCUUUCAAGAGUGCUGAGAGAUCUGUAUGAAAUAGACCAGCUGUCUUUUCUGAGAUAUGUAGGUAUACCACAAAAGUAUGUAUAGUACGUGAAAAAAAUACUCUGUCAGGAAGCUCUACAUUUUGACACCACUCUGUAGACAUAAUGUCAUAUGAAGGAUUACAUUUAUUUAGGCUUUCUUUGAUCUCAUUGUGUCACAGAGCAACCCACAGGUCAAUUUUAGGGACCACAAGGUCCAAAAACAACUUUUAUUAGACCAGCGAGGCACAGGGUUUUAGCACUCCAAAUGUGACUUAAAUACAGGUUCGGAUAUCAGUGGAGGAAAUUAUUGAGAGGGGCAGCCACUAAUACAACAGGAGGUCCACAGAGUGCAUGCACGUGGCUUCACCAAAACAGUGCCGGAGCCGUCCCCGAGUCCCGGAGGAGUACACACUUGCCUAAGCACGGUGUGGGAUUAUUUUAUAGAGAUACACGUACUCGCAGUGAGUACGGAAAGUGUGCACUCGCGAUUCCGCGAGAGUAAAUUUAUAAUACGCUCGCAGUCCUGCGAGAGUUAUUUUACACGUGCAAAUGUGCACGGAAUCCUACACGUGCUUAUGUGGAAGCACGGGAGGAAAAUAUACUCGCGAUUGUGCGAGGGGCUCUCGGCGGCCACUCGCGAUUGUGCGAGGAAAUAAAGUACUUGUGCAAGUGUGCACGGAAAGAAAAUAUACUCGCAAUCCUGCGAGAAGUUUUACUUACACCGUGGCGGCGAGGCAAGCGGAGUCUCCAUCCCGGGGAGGGGGGCUCUCGUGGCGGCAGUGGCUAAGCUCGUGCUCCAAGAGACCCGCGGCAAUGGGCGGAGUCUCGACGAGAGUCCCGUUUUGUUAUCUGAUCAGACCUGACUGUAGGCAUUGUAUAAGCUUCUCUGCACCCCCCACACUGAGUGUGGGUGCCCCUGAAGCCCUCAAACAUCCCCCACACUGGGCGCGGCCCAGUGUGCCUUGGCACUCCCUUCUGCUAAUGUCCCAGGAGCCAGGGUGCUCUGGGCCAGACAAAAGAAGCUGUUAGCCUCAAAUAGCAGAGGAAGAGAGAGAAGUGCCAUGCUGCAAAGGAGGGGGAAUUGCAGUCUGUCACACAUUGAUACUAGUAUUUUUUUUGUAGCCCGAGAUGAAAUACCUUCUAACAUAUUUUGCAGUUGCAUUUAGUCUAUCCUCUGGUCUGUGUAUACUGAAUUUUUAGGCUUACAAUUUGCAAAGCAACAAAUUCUCCCUACUGAAAGAAUCCCUUAUGUAAUGGUAAAUACAGUGUUACUAGCAUAUAAUUAUAUAUGCAUCCAAUGGCUUUGAGGGCAAAACUUUCAUUGACUUUGAUGUUAGUGAGCUAAGUUCCUUUGUGAUAACUCAAUUGUGGAGUGAUUUUAUGUUAAGUUAGGAGAGCUUUGAAUUUGGCUGUUCAGAAGUGAUGGAUUAAAUCAAAACCCAGUUGUUGAUGGUGAGUAGCAACUGAGAUAAUAAAACAAAAUGUCUUUUAAAAUAACAUGAAACAAAAAAUGAAAUUAUUUAAAAAUGCUAUUUCAUAUUUGCUCUUCUCACUUUUGAGUGGCAGUUAGUUGCCUACUACUGUCUGUGAAGCUUAGGAUGAGGCUGCAAGUUUAAAAGUCACACAGAAUCACAGAAUGUUAGUGAUUGGAAGGGACCUUGAAAAACCAUCAAGUCAAAUCCCCUCACCUCCUUUUCUCCAGGCUAAACAGCCCUAGUUGCCUCAACUGCUCCUCAUCAGACUUAUGCUCCAAGCACCUCAAUCAGCUUCGUUGCCCUUCUCUGAACUCAAUCCAGCACCUCAAUGUCUCUCUUGUAGUGAGGGGCUCAAAACUCAACAAAGGGUUUGAGGUGGGGCCUCACCAGCCAAGUACAGGGGGACAAUCACUUCCCUAGUCCUGCUGGCCACACUAUUUCUGGUACAAACCAGGAUGCUGUUUGCCUUCUUGGCCACCUGGGCACACUGCUGGCUCAUGUUCAGCUGGCUGUCAAUCAACACCCCCAGAUUCCUCUACGCCAGGCAGCUUUCCAGCCACUCUUCCUUGAGCCUGUAGUGCUGUCUGGGGUUGUUGUGACCCAAGUGCAGGACCCAGCACUUGGUCUUGUUGAACGUCAUACAAUUGGCCUCAGCCCAUUGAUCUUGCUGGUCCAGAUCCCUCUGUAGCACCUUCCUAGCCUCCAGCAGAUCUACACUCCCACCCAACUUCUUGUUGUCUGCAAAACAUGUUAAGCACAUCAUUGAUGCAUACUUGGAUGUCAGGUUUACAAGAGACAAAUGCUUGUGUUCUCCAGGCUCUGCUCUGCCCUUGCUGCAUGGAUGUAUGCGACACUGCCGAUAAACUUAUGAACUGCUGCACUGUAUAGAGCAUGAUGUUUGUUGCAGGGUAAUCUUACCAGAUUUUUUCUUGCCUUUGAAGAGUAGGCUACAAACUGUGUUGUUUUAGGGGCUGAUUGGUGAGCAGUGUGAUUGAGACACAUAGACUUGCAAAUCUGUGCCCUCCUGCGGGAUGUGUUUCUUGAUGUUUGAAUUUACAGAGACUGGUUAUAUGUCUAGGAGUGCCCAUAAAGUAACUGGAUAUUGGAAGCAGGGAGGGGAGGCUCUUCUUCCUCCACAGUUUCUCAUGUCAGAGGGACAUGUUUCUGUGGGGCAAAAUAUAGUCCAAAAUAUGCUUUCACUUCCUACCGCUAGGCUGUUACCACCUCUCCUGAGCUGGUAAUCUGCUUUGUUUUCACUGAGGCUUUCUGGCUGUGGUAUUCCAUCUUUAGGAACCAGAAAAACAUGUGGCACUGCAGAGGAGUGAGACAUGAGGGUUUGAGAGUAAGUGGUACAUUUCUCUUUGUAUAAAUAAGUGAAGGACACCAUUCCCAGAGCUGGAGGAGCAGAUGGGUGGGAAAUGAGAGUGGCAGGAAAAAGAUCAAACUUCGCCUCUUCAAGAAGAUGAGAAACCGUACCAGCAUGACUAGAAAAAUCAUCCAGGGAAAAGAAAUCCCAUCUCAGAUGCUCUCAAUUUUGGGGUGUCUUUUACCAAUGUGAUUAUGACAUGAAAGAUUUUUUCCAUGCCAAUACGUGCAUGAAAACUUGUUAUCUCAAAUGCUUAGAGAACUGUGGUUUGUCUAUAUUAAGCCAAAGGGAAGGACAAACAAUGAAGAGGCUGGGCAACCAUCCCAAAAGGGUCAAGGAGAGAGAAUUUAGGAGUUUCUCAGCAGGUUUCUUUAGCUCACUUUGUGAGACCAGUUGUAGAGAAGUUUCUGGUUUGUUCUUACAGACUGUAACACAAUGCAGCCUUCAACAGACAAGUCUAUGGAUGGGCUUUAUCUGCCAGCCCUGAGUAUUUAGGAUCCGAUGUGAUAAAUCCAGGAGCUGUGAUGGGCUCAAUAAUAGAGAAAACCUGUGUGAAUGACAGACUACUGAGACUCUUAGAAUUUUUAUCAGUGACAUGGUACUUGUGUUUGUAAAUAUUUUUCUGCUAAUUUUUUAUUAAAAAAAAUAUUGUAAUAGUGACUGUAAAAUAAGAUUUGUCUGGUGACUAAUGAUGUACUUUUGUCUUGGUGUUAGGGUUUUUUACUGCUGUGUUGCAUUGGCAGAUAGGAAAAAAAUGUUGCUGGAAUUUACUGGAGUUAUCUACAAAUAUCUGGCAAACUUUGGCUGUCUUUAGCCUACUCUUUAAAUACUACUUCAAUGUUGGGAUCACUGGAUCCAUUCAGUAUUGGGCAGUGAAACUACAGACAACACAGAUACUUCAAGGGGUAUUUAAUCUCUGGCUAUAUCUAAUUAUUAAUUUUAGUAAUUUCUUCAAGGUCUGCCACAAGAGACACAGACCUGAACUCUGUCCUUAGGUGCUUGUUUCUAGAAGGAUAAAAGUUAGAUGAAAGCAUGCCAAGAGACAGAAAAGGUAAUGAUAACUUAAGACAUGUAAAAUAUAUUUUAGAGUGAGUACCACAUUGUUGUUUUAUUAUUUGAGAUACCCUAAAUUUUCCUUCGCACUGAACAAGUAAUAUUUAAUAGAUGUAAAUUAAAUCAAUGAAAUAGAGGUUUCUAAUGUAAUCUUCAUUAUGAAAUAUGAUUUUAUUUGCUUGCUGAUCAUCAUAGGUUUUCAAUAUGUGUUGGAGAAACAAGUGCAUGCAUGCUGGAUUUGUUAAGAAACCAUUUUCUAGAACAAGAUUUAGUAGGAUAAUUGGGUGGAUAGCAUUGACUGAUCAUACAAACAGAUGCCAAACCACAGCUACUUUUGAUACAAAUAUGUCAUUGCAGGAGAAGUAGCUGUAGAGCAAAUUUGCAAGCAUUAAUAAAAUUUAUUAAACUUCUGAUACAUUUUAAAGCUUAUGGGAAGGAAAAAUAAUAUAUUUCCUCAUUGUUUUAUGGCACAGUCUGAAGCGGUAUCAAUCCCAAAGUGAAAUUUCACCCAGAGACAGUUAAAUAUGAUUUAUUAUAUUUGUCACAAAAUCUUUAUAUGAGACAAAAUAAUUCACAUAGUUAUUAAUUAAUUUAUCAUACACCCUCUUGGUUCAUUGCCCUAUAAUUAAAGUUGGAAUAUGUCGUUUGUAAAUUUAGCCUCUUUCCACAUUGUAACGGAAUGUGCCUAAGACAAGAAUCACAUUGAGGUAGCAAUAAUGAACAUUUCUGGAAAGAAAGAAAUGUGGUGCUUUGACUUAGAUUUAUCCUGUCUAAUAUUAGACAUACUUCUAAGCAAACUUUGGUAACUCUGUGAAUCAUAUUAUUUUAUGCAUCAUCAUCUUUUUUUUUGCAGUCUCACAGCAGCGGCGUGCAACUGUGACAACUAUUCAGAGAGAACAAUGUAGACUAGUACUUAGUAUAUUCUUGGCAUAUUUAAGUCAUGUAUUACAUUGGCAUUUUCUAAAAACUAUAAAUCUUACUGUAUACCUUUCCAUUAAAUGCCUCCACCUUCUUGUUUUGAGGUGUACAUCUAUUAACAAGGAAAAGAGCUAGAAUCAUGUGGUCAACCAGCUCCUUAUAGGUUAGUAAUAAGUGUUUGGCCAACACUUAGGGGUCUACAGAGGAGGACUGGCUUGCCUCUAAAUACUUUUCUCCAAAAAAAAAAAAAAUUGAAGAUCCCUGAAUCAAAAUGUCUCUGAGAAAGAGAUGAGCUUGUAGUUUAUGGCAAUUACUCUUCCUUGCUUUUUUAUUUUUCCUGUAGCCUUGCUAAUAAAGCCCGUGAAAAAUGGGCCAUUGGCCAUUACUGGUCAUUUAAAAACCCUACAUUCCAAAUUAAAAUUAGAAUUAUAUGUUUAAUGAGAUAUAAGAAACUUCGUAGCUUCUUUUAGCAGAAGACGUGUAAUAACAUGUGAGAGCUUAAUUAACUUACCUAGUGUUUAGUAAGUAGGAAAAUAGUUGUAGGUAUUUUCUUUGUGAACAGAGCUGUUUACCCAUUUGUUUACAGGAAAUUAGUUUAAAAGCCAAUUUUUUCAUAGGCUUUAUAACUAAUGCAUUUAAGGAUAAACAUAUUAAGAAAAGAAAGGGCAAAAGUGUGUGAAUGGCUGAAGUUCAAGAAUGUGAAAGGUGAUUUGUGGAAGAAGUCUACAGUCCUUGGAGUGUUGGUGUCGUUGAGCCUACUUCCUAAAGGAACAAAAAGCAGAGCAACUGCUGUAGUCUGAAAAUCCAAAUCCCAUACUGUGUAAAUGUAGGAGUAGUUACAUUUGUACAGUCCUACAAUUACAUUUGGCCCUUUGAAAGCAACUGUGAGGCUGAUGUGGCCCCCAGUGAAAAUAAGAUUGGCACCCCUGCUAGGAAUCAAACUGGAAUCUGUUUUUUCCAAAAAGCAAGAGAUGCCACAUUGCAUACUGUCAGAACACAGCAUGAACAACUGAUAAUGAGAAGUCUAAUCUCUGUGAUGCACACAUAAUUGGUAAAUGAUCAUUUGAACUGAUUUGGGAAUGACUUUAAGAAAAAGCUAGUGUUUUUGAUAUUGAUUUUUUUUUUCUUUAUCUUUUUUGUUUUUUAAAGUAAAGGCAUGGUCCAUUGAGGUAUACAGGCUUUAAAAGCUGACAUUCUUCUCUGUGUAUUGCCAGUCUUGUUUCAGUAAAAUUGCAGUGUUUUCUAGUCUAUAAUGGGGUAUCUUGGGAAAGGUACUACGGAACAGAGAGACUUGUGGCAUCUCUCAUGCUGUAGAAGUGCUCAUUGCUGCUAAAAGGCAUGUGUUUUGAAGGAAGAAUGCAAACUAAAAAUAAUGGAAAUUGGACUGUGAACACUUUGAAAAAUGGUGAAAAAGCCCCUAAUAGAAAGAGAAUAAAUGAAAGAGAUUAACAGAAAGCACAUAAUAGUGGUAUCUGUGUUGUCCUGGUCAACUUUGAGGCUUUUGUUCUGCUGUGGGUCUAUUAGGAAACAGAAGACAGCUUUGGAGAUAGAUUUUCUGCUAGGUGGCAUAAAAAUAUCAGGUUCAAUCCAAAAUUAGUGUAUAUUCAGCUCUCCAGUUCAGCAAAAAAUUGCUUAGUUGACCUUCCUUUGAAUUAAAGUGGAAAAGUUCCAUUGCAUCAUUGACACUAUUGACAACUCUUCUCCCUUGGCUGGUAAGUUGCCUGGUUGAGCACUUUCUUCCAAUGAAAAAGUAUGUGUAAUCCAGUUUUUGAACAGCCCUAAAUGUUUUCCUUUUCUAAACCUUUAAGUAGUAACUAUUUUUUUUUUUUUUUUUUGUAAUAUGCUUUAGUGUUACUGGUAACGUUAAAAAAACAUGAUUCUUGAACACUGUAAAAUAAUUCAGCCCUUUAACAUGUAUGAAAAUAUCAACCAUAAAGUAUAAUUUUGACUAGCACAAGUGUUCCACAAAGAAAUAAUAAAAAUUAAAAUAAAAUAAAAAGCUAUAGGAAAAAGCGGCUUUUUUAAAAGAAAAUUAAAAUUAUUUAGAAGAAUACUUAUAUAUUAAUGGAGCAGAGGGAGACAAGUCUAUUCUUGCACCUCAGAAAGUCUCAUAUUGAUGUGGAGAAUACAUUUUUAGGAUUACUCCCUAUUUGUAAUAGUUAUAAUCACAGUAGUUUCUUUGUCGUGCUUUGACAGUACUGACACUAUAUGGUGUGUCUCAUCUUCACAGUCCAAUUGGUGAUGUUUUUGGAACUUAGUACUUACUGAUGAUUACUUCAGUGACUCAGAAAAUGUAAGGGCUAAAUUUUACUCAUCAGGUUUUCCACUACAAACACAAAGAUCCAUCUGUAAAUGCGUGAGUCAGCUUUUGCCAUUUUACCUUCUUAGAAGGUUAAGUUCAUCCUGUUUCUUGAUGAUAAUAUUUUGUACAUUAUGACAAUAUGUUGCAAAAUAAGGACACAAAGUGUCUUCCUAUUCAGCUCAUGCACUCUCAAAGAGAAGAAUAUUUUUAUUGGUAGCAAUAGUUUCAUCUGUUUUCACUGGGUAGAAAAAGGAAACCUGCCUUUGUCCUUGUGUUAUUUUUUUCCUUUGUUUUUGAGAGACAACAUUUUCAAGUAUUUUGACACUUUAUUAUCAAAUAAGGAAGACUCAGCAAUCUAUCCUUAGCUGUCUGCCCAAGAAUAGUCUUGCAAUGAAAGACUUUGUGAGGGUCCCCAUUUGUGUGGAUAUUCCUGGUCAAAACAACCCAUCCAAUCUAACUUGCAUGUUACAAUCACUCUUAUACUGCCAUUUGAAAACCCCACAGGAAUAAUAUUGUCAUUUCUGUUUUUUGCAGUUUGCAUAGUUUCCUCUUCAAAAAAGCUGACCAAAACAACCAGAGAGACUUACUUUUUAAAUAACUGUAUUUUCAGUGGUAUAAUGCUGAAAUGGGAAAGAUUAUGUACUUUAUGUAUUUAUACAGCGAUUAUCUACCAAACCAUUGUAUUUGGUUUCUUUAUCUUUUCUCAUCAAACUGUGUGAAAAUUCAAUGAAAUGGCAAAUAUAAUCAUACUUUCAUGUAAUCAUGAAAUUAAAAAACAAGCAAAGAAGUUUUGCAGCAUUGUCUGAAAUCUCACAUUUUCUAAAGCUUGACUCUCCAGGCACCCUGUUGACUGCUCAUCAAAGAGAUUUUCUUCCAUCUGUGUGCUUCCUUUGUAACUACUCAUUCACCAUAGAAUUUUAAUGCAAAAUGCAGCUGAAAUUUUAUAUGUAAUCAUAGAGAAAACCAAGGCUACACUGAUUUUGUAUAUUGCUCAAGCUGAGUGUCUGUGUCUUGACAACAAACACAUUAUUUGUCAGUCAGGCAACAGACUUUGCUGUCCCGGUUUUCUCAUACUGACAUCCCAACAGCUUCCCCACCCUUUUACAGUGCCCACUGUCUUACUGGACUAAGUCAGGACCUAUCUGUUUCCAUUCUCCUUGUUCACACCCUACCCUUAAUUUCCUUGCAAAGUGUCCCAGCAUCUAUCCUGGAAUUUGGAAGCAGAGUCUGACAUCCAUUCCUGUAAUUGUGCUCAUAUCAAGGAGAGUCUGAAUCGACCUCUGUACUGAACAUAAAGAAGCCCACUCCCAAGACCUGUGAGCAUACACUUAACAGGAGCUGGAAGCCAGUUACAAAUAUCCCUCCCCUGGUCUUCGAGGUGAGAUGUGUACCUUUGAAGUUAGGGAGCUUCCUGAGCUGGAGGUGACUUUACAGCAUAAGAACUUCCUCACUGCCUUCCACCUAGGCUCCUUUUCCUUUAAAUUUUCCUCUAAGAGUGGUUUCAUGUGAGUUAUCUUCACACACUUCCAAAGCAGAUGUUAAAGGGCAUAAGCAGCGUAAGCCAGGGAAAUGCAGCUGAGAGUAAGUAGGGGUUUGAAUGUCUAAAAUAGCACUGGCUCAAGAAAGGGAGGAAGUUAUGACUGCAGAUGGUAACGAUGCAUUUUUCAAGGCAAUAAUAUUCUCUCUGUGUCUGGAAAUUCGGUGACCUCCUGGACAUACCGUUCAAGACUUUCUUUGAAAUGACUGUAAAAUGCUUUUUUUUUUUGCAAGAUUCGUCAUGAAAAAUACCUCUGGGGCUCUCUUGAAGACCACUUGACAGAUGAUAGAGCUGCUACUAGCAGAUGAGCCUGAGGACACAAACUCAAAUAAUAUGGAUUCUUGGACCAGAUCAUUCAGCUGAAAGAGAAACAAGGAGUCCAUCUCUUCUUCCACAUCUACACAUACACUGUGCCCAGGAGGGGCUUGGAGAGGAAGUGGAAGAGUCUGUAAGGCUUUUGAACCAUCAGCCAGGAGACAUCCUCAGAAGUCGAUUGACACCUUGGCAAUGUGCAUGGGAGAGAUGUUGGGGAGCAGGGGAGCCCUCCAAAGGAGCUGCUGCUCUUGCUAUGGAGAGCCCUGGGUAACUCAGAAGUAGAAUAUUAUGUAUUGUGAGCUGGAAGGCAGCAUCGCCAGUGUGACAGUUCACUCAGCAGCAUGACUGUCCUGCCAAACGAAGGGAAUAAUACACCAGUGCUGAGAGUCAUGAUGUGCAGAUCAUGUUGUAUUACCACUCUUGGAGCUCAGUGUCCUUCCACACCAUGGGCUGUUUGGGGUCUCAAGGUACAAUGGUAACUUGACUGCUUUACUUAUGCAAAGUGCUCAGAGCCUACAUGGGAAGGUGACCCAGGGAGAAGCCUCUCUGUUGUCCUUGAAGGGGUUGUGAAUUUCUGUGGGGAAAAGGACAGAGUCUAGCGUUUGUUUUUUCUUUUUUUCACAGAAACAUCACCUUUAUGAUCCUCACUUUGCAGCACAGAGAAACAGUAGUACAGUAUGAUGAAUACAGUGGAAGAGGUGGUGUUCUUCAAGGAGCAAAAUACGUGGGAAACAUCCUGCUGUAUCUAACAAAGGAGUUUGUCAGUUUUUGAUUUUUAAAACUCUUUCUUGGUAGAAUUGCUUGCAGGUCUGAUUAAACAAUAUCUAACUGAUACACACCCUGAUAGAUGACCCCUCUGUAAGACACCUCCUUGCAGAUAAAAUGCACACUUUUUAUUUUUUCUUUUUAGGCAAUUAUUCUCAUGCUGUCUGCCUAGUCCUGAACUGAGUUCUGGGUGAAUUCUCUAAUGGACAAAACAUAAAUCACCUUAAUAACUGAGCAAUCCAUCACCAACACAAAGGGUGCCUUAGCUCCUGCACUUAGUGACACAGUGAAGUUGUAGAAAGCUCUGAACAAAGCUGGUGUGGGUUUGGGCACAUGGAGGAGGAAGGAUGUGAGUUGGGAGCUGCGCUGACAGAUCACUCAUCCAGAUUUCCAUUCAGAGGUGUAAGAGACUUCAAUAAUUAUUCUACGAGCAAGGUUCCAGAAUACCUGAUGGUCCUGUGCUUGGUUUUGGUAUUUUGAUGAAAAUACUGUCUUGACAUAUAAUGAAAAAAACCCAAAAUUUCUGAAGCUGCAGGAUUCAUUUUUUUGAGUCAUCUCCUACAGUGUUGUAAAGAACAGUGGACAAAGCUGUGCCAGUAUAGCUGCGCAGACAUCAGUAGGUUGGCAGCAUUCAUUGGUUUGGGGAGUUUAAUGCUAGUCCAGGUGUUUCAAAUUCUACCUGAGAAGUGCUCUAUUGCAUUCCCCUGCUGUUUUUCUCCAAUAGUUCUUGCUGAAGAACAGGAAUGUUCUCAUAUUACUUACUUGUAAUAGUAUGCUCAUCUUUUAUAUGAAUUAAAAAUUGCUACAUACUGGGUUACAAUUUCUUUUUAAUAGAACUUCCUGUAUAUAUUGGUUUCUAGACACAAGUGCCCUCCAAAGUCAUGGACCUCUGUUGUUUGUACUUGAAUAAUGAUUUUUGCUUCUGGAUACCUCAGGUAGAUACCAGCAAUAUAAAUGUUCCAAGUGUUAUACACUUCUCUAUUGACUACCUAUCUGAAAUUGCUCAGGAUUAACUACGUUAAAAACAGCACCAGCAUGAACACAGGGAGACCUGCCCUGGCAUAAGGGAUAGUUUGAAAUUUUCCCCCUCACCCCCAGGCUGGAGAUUUGAUCUGUUAAAAUGUGAAAGACUGUGGAAUUUUCUUUGAGAAAAAGCAUUCACUUUUGAAGAAUUUUUAGGCAUUUUAUGUUGUAAUACACAAGAGGGUUUUUUUGCAUGCCAUGAUCCUGAAUAUUGAAGGUACAGUAACAGUUUGGAACUAGAUUUCAGUUUUUAUGUAUAAAACCUGAUUUUAUUUGGUGCUUCUUCAGAUUGCCCGAGGAAAAUGCUGCCACUCUUCGAGCACUCCUACCGCUAUCUCUUGGGCUGGUGACAAAGGCUGUUAGAGCUCAGCUCAGCCUAUUCCUGGUAACUGGCAGUGAGCAGUAAGUGAACCUCAGCUGGAUUGGCAGCCCUUUCUGCGGUGCAGAGUGGGAGGAGGAUCUUGCACUGUCCCCACUUCAUUGGUUCUUCUUACUUAAUUAGUAAUCUGGAAACCAUUCUAGGAACCUACAGCCCUUUCAGCCCUGUAAAUGGAAACAUUACAGCAGGAAGCUCCCUGUUGUUCAGAUGUGAUGCAGAAGCUAGGUGUUGGGUGCAUACUUGAGGAUUUCAAAGAAUCGAGGUGGGAAUGGACCUCUUAAUAUCCUGUAGUCUAAUCUUCUGGCUCAAUGACAGGUCAACUAGAGCAAGUUGAUCAGGACUGUGUCCAGCCGGCGUUUGAAUCACUUCAAGGAUGGAGACUCCACAGCCUCUCUGGGCAACCUGUGCCACUACUCAGUCUCCCUCACAGUAAAAAAGUGUUUUCUUGUGUUCAGACUGAAUUCAUUUUUUUCAUUUUGUGCCCAUUGCCUUUUGUUUUCUCAGUGAGCACCAGUGAGAAGUGUCUAUGUCUCUCAUCUCCACUCAUCUUCAUCUUCCUUCCCUCCAAUCAGCUAUUGAUGCACAUUGAUAAGAUCCCUGGGAGCCUUCUCCUCUCCAGGCUGUACAAGUGAUGCUCUAGUCCUGUAACCAUCUGAGCGGCCCUGCACUGGGCUUGCUUCAGUAUGUCCAUCUCCCUCUUGUCCAGAACUGGACACAACACUCCAGAUGUGGCAUCACCAGUGCUGAGUAGAGGGAAGGGUCAUUCCCUUGACCUGCUGGUGAUGGUUUUUCUCGGGAAACCCAGAAGACUGUUGGUUUCCUUUGCUCUGAGGGUGCAUUAAAUUUGUUGUUUCAUACUUGAAAAACAGCACCAGCAUGGGCACAGGGAGACCUGCCCAGUAGUCAGUCCUCUGACCAGCUGUUGAGAAAGCUGUUCCACAGACCUGAAAGCGUAUUCUGGAGAAUGAGCUGAUUUCCAAAAGCAGUAGGGCUUACACUCAUUCAUCUUGCUGUCAGGACACUCGACGCACCACAGAAAGCAACUCAGCAAGCUGAAUAAAAGCCCCAGGUGGCAAAGCUUGAGAAAUGAGUUAAAUAUAACUCUGUGAAAGAGCUCUAAUGGUUUUGGAAAAUAGGACUGUUAUGUUAGCCUGAGACAUGAUUAUGUCUGUUUUCUCCUUUUUUGGUGGAUGUCUAUGAGACAAAAUAUAUAUUCUUCAUUUAAAAAUGUUAAGAAAGAAAACCAUACAUGUAGAAGCAGAUUGCUUUUCUUGGCAACAAAUAAACUCAGGAUUCUCAUUCUCUGCAAGUCAAUCAUGCACACAUUUACAGAUGUAUUGUCAUUACUCACUUGAGCAUUUGUCCAUCAACUAUAGAAAUAUAGAACUUCUGUUGCAUGAAUGCCUCUGUCCUCACACACUUCCCUGCUCCCUGGGAUCAGAAGUAUAAGCCUUCUAACAUUGCUGCUUAUUUGAUGAAAGAAAAAAUUAGCAGAGUAAAACGUACUAACCCUUUCUUAUCUUAAAAAUUUGGCAAGAGAUCUUUACAUUCUGAAGGGGACUAUUUGGGACCCCUUGCAACAGAAUUAAUGGAGUGUGGGCCUUCUGCAAUUUCAGGGCACUGCUGCCAAGUUCAGCUUGAAAGAAACUUCACUUGCCUGUGUAAUACUUUUGCUUCUGUAAUUUUUUUUUCAAGUUAAUAUAAUAUAUAUCAUGUUUCCUCACUGCCAUACAAAGAUCUCAGCAAGAUUUUUGGAGGCUUUUGGUAUACAAGCUGACGUGACACUUUUAUAAAAUGAACAAAUGUUUCAUUUUUUUAGAUAACCUCAAGCUGCAGCCACUAUAACUCAAGAUAUAACUAAUCUUUUAGCUGUUUCUAGCUAUGGCCUCCAUCAGUAAUUAUGAUACAUACAGGAAUUUUAAAAUUUCCCAAAUCUUCUAUUACUUAAAGUUAGAUUACUGAGCAGGAGGGGUGUAGUAGAAUUUUUAAGAUGUGCUUUAACAUAAAAAAAUGUUUAAGAGAAAAAAAAAUAGAAAAAAUAGAAAAAAUACUUAAGGGAAAAAGAACGUGUAGGAAAAAAAGUAAUGACUGCCACAACAGGGCAGCUGAGAAAUAAUUUAUACAUAAUUUUUGCUGGUGAGAUUAUGUUUGUUUAAGAACCUGAUUUGUCCUAAUGUGGUCCAGACUUCUCUGAGCAACUAAAAGCAUGAUGCAGUCAUACAGAAAUGCAGCUAAAUACAGAGCCUUUUUUCAGAGGCUUAGUUUGUGUUAAAGCAUUAUAAAAACAGUUAAAGUUUUCCAUGUGACCUGACUGACUAGUCUUAAAAUGUCAUCCUUUAACUCAUUUCUCAGCCCAGAGGGACUGAUUUGUGCUGAGGGAUGGAUAUGUGCUUGGAAGACAAAAAGAGCCCACCAUGGGAAAAACCUUACAGAGCACCGGACAGGAGAAGGGUGAACAGGUCAACACCCCACAUUUCAUAGAAACAUGGAAACAUAAGCAUAGACUAGUUUGGGUUGGAAGGAGCAUUUAAAGGUUAGCUAUUCCAACACCCCUUUCAAGUCAGCCGUCAGUUUAUUGGUGAAAAUAGCCUGCAGAGUACGAGAAAUGAUUUGAUAUUGAUAACAUAUAGUUGAUGUACAACCUUCAGCAAAGUCUGGUCUGUUCUUAUUUUAAGGGUUUAAGGGGUGGGAACUUUGGUUGUCUAUAGGCAAAUAAUAGCUGGUUUAGAAUCAGAAAGGCAAAAGUGAGAAAACUCAGGGGUCAAGAUAAAGAGAGUUUGGUAAGCGAACGGGAAAAAAAAAGAAGCGAUGCAAAGGCAAUCACAGCAGACUGAUGACUAAAGAGUCUCCGAGGAACUGUGGCCUUGGAAAAACUACCCCCCAGCUUUAUUGCUGAAAACUACGUUCUAUCCUACGGAGUAUCUCUUCGGUUAGUUUGGGCCAUCUGUCCUGACUUUGUCUCCUUGCAGGCUCUUCUCCACUCCUAACUUACUGACAGUGGGAGCAGAGUGGGAAACAGAGGAGGCCUUGAUGCUGUGCAAGCACUGUCCACCAAUAGCCAAAAUAUGAUUGUUUUAUCAACACUGUUUUGGUUACAAAUCUAAACCCAAGCACAAUGCAGAAUGCUAUGAAGAAAAGUAACUCCAGCCCAACCAGACCCAGUACACUGUGCUAAACAAGACUGUCAGUUAAAACUAGUACACAGGAUGGAGGAAAGGCCUGACCAUGCUGAAACAACAUGGCCAGAAGGAAAUUCUUGGCAUUGUGUCACACACUUGGAUGUGUCAAAAUACUUAGGUUCUCUUGUAGAUUAAUUUGGAAUAGCAUUUUCUACACUACUGAAGGUGGGAUUCCUGCUUUUAUAACAACUUGUGGAACACAGUCCUUAGCCUUUCUCUGCAUUUCACUAAUAUUUGAGUCCACAAAAGAUGUAUUUUCAAAAACUCUUUACUGGUGGAAGAAUUGCUCCACUGGUAGAGGCGAAAGUUACUGCUCUUCAUCAUGUUAAGUGUAGAUUUAAAUACAGUGGGGGACCCACUGUAGCCAGAUCAGUUUUUGUUUUUCUUGUAGGUCUAAUAAGAAGUUCAGUUAGUUGUCCGUUCUGCAAUCACAGGUGGUAAGUUUGCUUUUGUGCAGCAUCAAUGCUUGGUCAGUGGUUUGGACUGGUUCUGAUAGAAGUUUAAGUAUCUGCUUGGUGGUGAAGUGUUUAUUUUGAAGUAACACAAUGAAGCAAAAGACCAAACAGCUCCUAGAAAUCUUUGACAAUGUGAAAUUUCUGUAAUGUCUACCUGUCUUCUACUUUUGUAACUGGAAAUUGUUGCCUAUGUCCAUCCUCAAUCCUUGUGAGGCCCUGCUACAGGUUGGUAAUGGGGACAUCCAGAACCCAUCCUCAUCCCAUCCUCAGAGGCCUUGAAACUCUUCCCUACACUGGCAGUUGGGUUGAUGCUAUGGAGAGUGUGGGAUCCCAAUGGGGGCAAUCCAGUUCUUGGGGAGCGAAAGAAAUUUCUCCUGAUGGCCAGGUAGGUGGUGCAGUCUAAGAGCAAUAGGUAGCAGAGAAUCAUAGAAUCAUUUUGGUUGGAAGAGACCCUUAAGGUCAAGUCCAACCAUAAUGUAACUCUAGCACUAAACCACGUCCCUAAGAGCCUCAUCUAUACAUCUUUUAAACACCUCCAGGGAUGGUGACUCCACCACGUCCCUGGGCAACCUGUUCCAGUGCUUCACAACCCUUUCUGUGAAGAAAUGUUUCCUCAUAUCCAAUCUGAACCUUCCCUGACACAACCUGAGGCAAUUUGCUCUCAUGCUAUCACUUGCUACUUUGGAGAAGAGACCAACACCUUCCAUGCUACAAUGUCCCUUCAGAUAAUCAGAAGGUCUCCCCUCAUACUCCUUUUCUCCAGGCUGAACAGCCCCAGUUCCCUCAGCCUCUUCUCAUCAGACUUGUACUCCAGACCCCUCACCAGCCUCAUCACCCUUCUCAAAGUGUCUCCAGCACCUCAAUGUCUUUCUUAUAGCGAGGGGUCCAAAACUGAACACAGGAUUCAAGGUGAGGCCUCACCAGUGCUGAGUACAAGGGGAUGAUCACUUCUCUAGUCCUUCUGGCCACACUAUUUCUGGUAAAAGCCAGGAUGCUGUUGGCCUUCUUGGCCACCUGGGCACACUGCUGGCUCAUGUUCUGCCAGCUGUUGAUCAAUGCCCCCAGAUCCUUGUCUACCAGGCAGCUUUCCAUCCGCUCUUCCCCAAGCCUGUAGAGAUACAUGGGGUUGUUGUGACCCAAGUGCAGGACCUGGCUCUUGGCCUUGUUCAGCCUCAUACAAUUGGCCUCAGCCCACUGAUCAGCUGGUCCAGAUCCCUCUGUAGAGCCUUCCUGCCCUCAAGCAGAUCAACACUCCCACCCAACUUGGUGUCAUCUGCAAAUUUACUAAGAGUGCACUCAAUCCCCUCAUACAGAUAAUUGAUAAAGAGAUUAAACAGAACUGUUCCCCUGGGGAACAACACUUGUGACCAACCACCAACUGGAUUUGACUCCAUUCACCACAACUCUUUGGGCCCGGCCUUCAAGCCAUGCAAAUAGUACACCCAUCCAGGCCAUGAACUGUCAGCUUCUCCAGGAGAAUGCUAUGGGAAAUGUUGUCAAAGGCUCUACUGAAGUCUAAGUACACAACAGCCACAGCCUUUCCCUCAUCCGCUAAGUUGGUGACCUUGUUGUAGAAGGAGAUCAGGUUGGUCAAGCAGGACCUGCCUUUCAUAUACCCAUGCUGACUGGGCCUGAUGUCUUGUUGGUCUUGUGUGUGCUGCAUGAUGGUAAUCGAGGUGAUCAGUUCCAUGAGAUCCAGAAAAAAACAGGUGCUUCCAAUACAGAAGCAACCUCUGGCACUUUGGAUGGGAGAAAAUUGGGACAAUGUCCCUUCUUCAAGGAGUUGGCAAUACAAGGUCUGAGCCUCUCUUGCUAACUAUGGAUAUAGUGUUUUGUUUUUUCUUUAUGAGGGAGGGCAUGGUCAGAGCAAGAGAAGAACUGAUCAGCUCUUGAAAAGGAAGGCUGGACAACUCAUCAUGUCGACAAUAAGUGUUUGUCACUUUCUUAAAAUGACUGGUUGGCAACACUUGAAAUCUGACAUGAAAACGAAACUCAAAACCCACAAAGACAACUUUCCUGAAGUCAGCAUUCCCUCCAUAGUUGCCUGUCUGCUUUUAGGUACAGAGAGUGAUACUUCUGCAUAGAAUUCAUUAUUUGAGGGAUAUUUUUACACAGAACUAACUAGCAUUAUUACUUCUUCUCCUUGCACAACUGUUUGAUAUACUGGUUUCUAUGUGUUAUAGUUUGAGAAUAACUAUUUGUUCACCCACAUUCAUUCUAACUGAGAAUAUUCAUUAUUGCCAUUUUAAAAGCCUAAUUUGAGAUACCUCAGAAUGUAAUAAUUAUACUUUUUUUCAUUGUUACAAUUCAACACUUUCAAAUUUCAAUUUCAAAAAGAAAUUUAUAAGAUGAGUGAAGUCUAAUGUCUCUGACAUACAAAUCCUGUGUGAUUUUUCUAAUACUUAUUCAUUUUGUAACCUUCACAACAACAGCAGUGAAUGAAUACCAUUCUAAUUUAGAGAAAAGAGUAAAGUGAGCUUCACACCAACAAAGUAUUCUAGAAGAAAAUAGAUAAAACAGAAUGAAAACUUUUUCAUUAAAAUGAAUAGCCCAUCAGUGGGUGAUGAAAGCAUUCUCUUAUCUUACACAAGAAGAAAAACGUAUAGCUGAAGGUAAAUUGUAAGACACGAAAAGGUUGAAUUUAGUUUAACAUUUAUCUUGUAGACCAAGGACUUUAAAAGUCAACAGAUAUCUCUCUGUUUGGCAGAGGAAUUUAGAUUUCCCUGAGUCCUCUAUGUCCUUUGAAUUCUACAGUGAUACAGAUAUAUAUAUUUUAGUUUGGCUGGCAGCCAUGGUAAAACAUGCCAGAUGGAUAUAUAAUUUAUACAAUGCUUUCAACCACUCUACUUUAUUAUGAGAAAAUAAACCCACUUUUAAAUAUAUGAAGUGGGAAAUAGAUAUUGUGGAGGAAAUAAUUUAUUUUUGUCCUUCGAUGACACAGAUCCAUGCAGAUGUUGAAGAAUGAACAUGGCUCCUGCCUGUAAGGUGAAGGUGAAUGGAUUUUUGCCAAAGUGCUUUCCUGCAUUCUCUAACUGCUUUUAUUUUUUACCAAGCAUGCCUUAAAUCUUUUUAUCUAUGUUUCACCAAUGUAAGGCAGGCGGAAUAUUGUGCCAUCAGCACAAGCUCUACUGACUUCUUAACAGUUAGCACUACAAGAUAUUUCAAGUCCAUAUCAAAGAAGACAUCUGCUCAUAGUGGUGAUUCUUCUCUCUGGGUAGUAACUAAGCAAGAAUUCAGUGGAAACAAUGGGGACUGGGCUUCAAACAUUUUUGGUAAAAAAAGUCUAUGUGCUAAAUUAAAUGGGAGGCUUACACAAGAAGUGAUAUUUGUGUACUAAGCACAGUCAUUUUUAAUGCCUCCUUUAGGGACAUUAACCUAAAACAGUCAAUAACCCGCUUGGAAAUUUUGUUUAAGUUUUGCUUUUCAUCCUACUCUAGCAGUUUUUCCUUGCCUCUAACACAAGAUUUAUUUUGCUUUGUUUUGCUGUUUAUUUGCCUGCCAAUGUAUGCCUUUAUAUCUUGUUUCCCAUAAAUUAUAAUAAAUGAAGUCUGUCCCUCUUUCAUGCUUUUAAAACAUACAUCAUUUCAGUAGUGUUGUUAUCAAUGCUUUAAUGAUACAUGACUGACUCUAUUGGGUUACCUUUGCCUUAAAGUGAGUUCUUGUUUUCUUGUGUAACAAGCCUUUCUUAAUGGAAAUAGGAAUAAAUAAAGCAAAUUUUCUGACAUUGAUCUAAUACUAUAAACACAAUAAACAUUCGAUUUCCAAGGAAUACUGAAGUACUAAGGAAAGAUACCUCCCUGAACAGUUACAUCUUUCACUUAGUCAAUACUAAAGUCCCUCAUAGAAGUGUAGGUAGAAUUGUUCUAUUUCACAGGACUCUCCUGUUUCCACUGGGCCUUUGCCUAUCUGUCUGUCUGUCUAUCUGUCUGUCUAUCUGUGUAUCUAUCUAUGUAUCUAUGUAUCUAUCUAUCUGCCUGCCUGCCUGCCUGCCUACCGACCUACCUACCUACCUAUUUAGUGUCCAUUAAUAUAAAGUUAUUUAAAACAAUCUUUUGAAACAUUGUUGUACAAACAGCAAUUAAAAAUGAGACAACAGUACUAUGUACCAAACUUUGAAGCAAGUUUAUUUUAGAAUGAAUUCUUUUUCCUUCUCUAAAAGGCUACUUAUCCUCUCUAAAAGCCUACUUAUCCUGAACACAUAAGCAAGGCAGAAAACCCCAAAGAAAAUUAUGUAAUAAGAAGAAAAUAAAUUGAAUUAUUUCAAAGAGCAGAUCUUGUUACUGUCUUUCUCUUUCAUCUCUCAAAUUAUCCAUGACUUAACCUCAUUUCUCAACAUCUAAUUCAUCUGAUUCUUGCCUGACAUUACAGUGUAGUGGACAGACACUACAUCAAAUACCAACGUUAACUUCAGCUGUACUCUACGUAUAAAAGAAUCCCCUUGUAGGAGCUCUAUGGAAGUUUAGCAGGAGCUCAGACACCAGAUUCACAGCUCCAAGGAGAGGCUGGGGCCUCAUAUUGCCGACUCCUUGAGGCAGAAUCAUUGUCCUAAUUUCUUCCUGCCCAAGGGUGGCCAAGGAUGCUUCUGUACUGGAAAAACAUUGAGAUUGCCUCUAGGAAAAUUAGUCCCUGGCAAAGACCUUGUAACAAGUUGCACUUUCUGGACGUGUAAUAAACUUUAUUUUUUCUCAUCUGUAUUAGUAUUUCCAUUCUCUGUGUCCAUAUGUGGGCACAGAACUAAUUAUAUUUUAGCCAUAAUAUUCUGCAAUAUUUUCAGUUUAUGCGCCUAUAUCUUCAAUCCUGGUGUCCUUAUGGCAACAAAAAAAUCUCACAUUUCACAGAAAAAGUGAGACGUAAAAUCUAUUAAUUUUUAGAGAAUUCCCACUUAGUCUUUUAUUGAAUUCCCAAAUGAAGCAAAAGAUAAUUGGAAUUGAAAUAAACUGAGUUACUGAAAAAUUGGAAUGAUUUUUGAUUAAAUUGCUUUUCAUUAACUUUUUCCUCAAGCUAUGAAUCAUUGUGCACCCUGGAGAGCUCUGGUCAGUGCUGCGUCUGCUUCCUUUCUGCUCUUUGUGUCAGUUAGCCAGACUGUUUGGUCAAGGUUGACACUGCCAGAGAGAAGCUACAAGCCUCACAACUCAUGAAAAGGACAAGAAGCUGGUGACACUAUUAUGGGACAGAGGGGAGAAGGUGAGGAUGGCAGGCAAUGAUCAACAUGAGGCGAAGUUUGAAAGGAAAGGACCCACCAGUGGGCAGCAGUCUCAGAAGGGUUUAGUCUCUUUCAGCAGAUUAUGCAGGUAGCAUUAAAUGAAUUAAUGCUUGAUGUCCUGUAUAAUUUAAUUUUAGGGUUUCCUUUAUAGCUUAGCAAUUGUAAAAUACUUAGGUGUUUGUUACCUCAUUAGACCUCACUUUAAAUAACUGAGUACAUAAAUAAAGCAUUCUAUUAGCUUCAUUUUACAUUUCUGACACGUAACUAAAAGUGGUGUCACUCUGCAAAGCAUAUGACCCCUGUGCAAUGAGGAUAUGCCUUUCAAAAACUUGUUUGACAUCUAAAAACCUUUGUCAGAGCUCUUCAGGAGAGUAAAGAGAAGUUUUAAAAAUAGGUACAAACCUCAUUAAGAGUUUGCAAAUGCAGUGGGACUAAAAGGUCAGUUUUGUCUUUGCAAAAGGUUAAUAGCAGGACACCAUAUGGCUAUGUACUCAGACUGUUAUUUCUUGUGUCUAUUGAUCAUAUUACUAACCACAAUCAGUCUGAAGAUUACAGCAUGUAGGCUAGUGUGGCUACGUGCCAAGUUUUGAGGAAUUACCUACUUCCCUAUGCACAAGGCAGCAUCUCACAUGGGUGAAGCAGUGAACAGAAGUGUCCCUCUGGUCUGGGCAAAUGCCAUAGACACAGAAGAUGAAAGGAAUGUGUGCAAUGACUGGGACAGGAAAAGAGAAGGCUAAAACAGGGUCACUGAUGUGAACCAGCCACAUUUUUGGAAAUCAGAACUAAAAUAAAUGGAAGUAUUCACUGUGGGCAUAAAAUGAGCCAUUAUGCAAAGAUAAAAUUUAGUACAAGAUGCAAAACAAGACAUAUGGUUGUUAAGUCUUGGUGCUUGUAAAGGUGACUGUGAAUUCAGUUUUGAAGGCAAGGCAGUUUUUUGCAGCUCUGUUUUCCACAUGGUUUUUGCAUAAGAAAUACCUAAGCUUUAUGUUAGUCAUAUUUAUCAAACAGAAUCUUCAAUGCUUACCUGUAUUUUUUUUUUUAUUUUUAAUUUUUUUUUAAUAAGUAAAUUCUGCUUACCUUGUCAUAAAACAGUCUUUUAUACAGGAUUGUGUAAUACAAGAUACUAGAUUAACAUUAACCACGUUUUAAGGUAAGUUUUUUGAAGUCCUCACUCAAAUUUUAUUUUCUUGUUCAGGUAGUCUUCCUGAAUAACAGAAAAUGUUGAAAAUAAAAGAUAGCAGGAAAGCAGUCCUCUCCAAAGCUUUAUUUAUGUUUUUGAAAAGAUAUUGAAUGGAUUCUGCAAAAGCCCUGUUGAGUUCUCAGUAUAUUACAUAUUAGUCAAACUAUAACUUUUCCUGCCUAUGUUUUGCCAUGUUGUUUCUUGAUGAACUCUUUGGUGGUCAUCGGGCAAAGAGAAAGGUGCCAGUAAGUUCAGUGCAAUAAGUCCAGUUCUCACAUCUGCUAGCAUCACAAUGAGGAAAUUGAAAAGUAUCUGUCUUUGCAAAGAAAGCCAUUGUUUUAAAAGAGAUUUAAACAGUAUUCAAAAUUUUGGAGAAAAGCCCUAUUCCUUAGAAAGCCUGUUAAAUAAUUGCUAUAUGGGAUUAACAACACAUCAGUCAGAUGUGAAAGGCUGACAGUUAAACUGAGCUUUGCAUACCUUGGUAACCUUGAUUUGGAUUCCUUUGUCAAAUCGUCAGUGAUUAAUUUAAUUACACAUUUGCAUAAGGUCGGUGGAAGAUCCAGCACUGUUUCUACUUUUCUUUGCUUGCCCUUCUGUGACACAGAAAAUAUUUGUGAUCGUGGUUACUCUUAAAUAGUUUUUUUAAAUCUUAUUGACACCUGUCAAGUCGGCUGUGAAAAGUAUUCAAGAAAGUGUUUAACAAAUGGAAGAGGAACCAGUCAGGCUGCAAUGAACUUCGCAAAUGCUUGCUUCCAUCAAAAACAAGGAAAAAGUCCCUGAGAUUUUCACUGUCAAAACAACUGGGUUUUUUUUGAAAAAUCACUGAAAAAUAACUGUUCCUAUGUUUACUGGUACAUUUUUUCUCUUGUUCUUGUGUGUGUGAAUGCCUCAGCCAUCGCCAUGAAAUCCAUCCUCUGUGAUACUUGCCCUUGGCAUCACUAGUGAUGUGAGCAGUACCACUCUGGUGUCAGUAAUUUCCCACAAAGCCUGAACAGUGGGUUCAUAAAGGUGAGCUUUUGGGCAACUCAGACACUCAGACACUCUCUCCCCGUAGAAUGCAUUUCAGCAACCUAAAAGGCAAGUGCAGUGUUGACUGUGAACAAGUGGUACACGGAUGUCAGGCAGACUUUACAGGCAGACAACAUUGUAGUUUGCCUCUGGAGGGUUUAACUCAAACUGCCCAACCAUGUCCUUUGCCAUGUCAAUUGUCUUUCCAUAUUUUCCACAUUUUUCCAUAUUUUUUUUCUAUAUUUUUGAAUGUUACAACUUGCGCACUGAAGAGCUUUUUUUUUUGGUGGGGAGUAAAAUAAAGAGGGUGCUUACAUAGUGUGUUUGUUGCUUCUUUGAUGAUUAGCCCUGCCUAACCAAUUUUUCACCUCUCUGUGCAGCCUCUGGUUCUGCUUUGUGGGGUCUUAAGUGUCUUGGUAACCUCUGAGGUAUGGACACACAUGUGCCUCAAGGAAUUCUGUAAGGUGCCAGGUGCAGGCCUGUGCAGCUUACUGUGUUCUUCAACUCUUCAGAACACUGGAAAAUUGCCUGCGUUUGCAUAUGGCUGUUUUCAAACAGGAGCCUUUUGCCUGACUUCUAGCCUUUCAGUAGUCUGGACACUACACAAACUGUAGUUUUCAUCCACCAGUAUAGUGUUUGAAAACAGAAAUGUAUAUUUAAUAUAUCGCUAUGUUACAUAUAAAUUUGUACCAAAUGUAUAAAUGGUAGCAAGGACUUGAAUCCUGACCAGAAACACAUCCCGAUUACAAUUUGAUCACACAAAACACAGGUAAACAGAGGCUACCAUUUCUCUUUGACCAUAUGUUCAAGUGCUUGUGUGUAGCAUCCUGCCUGCUUCCAUAUGCCUGUUUCCAUACCUUUCGGUUUCUGUCAGUUCUCACGGGUGUUAUGGCAUUCCCAAAUCCUCUCAUUUCAGGUGUUUGUGCUGUUCCUUUCCCAUCUCCAGCUAUUCUUACCCUCCUUUCUUCUGCCCCUGUAAGCCCUCCCUGGGACAUCCCAACCCACAGCAGCCCCCAGGCAGGUGUUUGGUGGUACAAAAGGUGAGUUUGGUAAUUUCAGCAUAGCUAAAUAAUUCUAAAUGUGUACUUUUCGGUGGCUAUUUCAUGGUAAGUAGAAACUAGUACUAGGUGAAGCAUGAGAGACAUUUACAAGGUCAUUUUAAAAGAGAAUAAAGAGUUUGUUCUGCCUGAUUUAUCAUCCAGGACUUUUGUCUAGACAUUUUUACAGCAGAAAUUUAAAUCACUUAUGACUUUAAUUAGUAAAAUGUCUUGAUUUAGUACAUUAAUGAUUUCCAGGCAAAUUAAAUAUUAAAAGGAAAGUCUGAGAAGUGUAGCUUAAAAUAUCUGAAACUAAGAUUCAAAAAGAGAUGUCUUAGUUGUGUGUGUGUUUUUGUGUUUGUACAAGCCUGCUAGCAAAAAAAAAAAAGAAAAGAAAAUAAAAGAGAAGAGGUUUUGGCUCAUUUAAUAAUGGGUAAAAUAAUAAAGGUAAAGAAAGGGCUAGGGAAUGAUUUGUCAGUGGUCAUAAAAUCACAGGCAUGUGUCUUUAUCUUUCAGGAAGGAAAAAGCUAAAAAUGGCAAGAAAUGACCACCAGCCUUUGGUCUAAACUUACAGAAUCAGUCUCACAAUUUCAGCACAAGGAAAUUAUUAAGAGCCUAGGCAGAUGCUACAGAGCCUUUAGCAGAGUUCUGCACGCUCCCCAGGCAGAGAAGAAAUUCACAUCAGAAGAAAAUUGGAUGAGAGAUGGAGAGAAAGUGAGCGUCUCAUAAAAUGGGUCCCUGUAGGCUGCUGCGCAUAUGUAAAACAGUAGAUAAAAACCAUGGCAAUUUUGAUCUAUCUUCUUUCUUGGAAUCAUUUAUUUGUUUACUAAAUUUAAUUUUUGGCUCCUAAUUUCUGUGAAAUUUCAGCAGCAGAACUGAUUUUAAAUUCUUUUUAGAAGAAGCUUUGAAAGGUCUUUGUACAGCGUGUCUUGCCUCAAAGCAAUGUACAACAGUCCUCAAAUGAGGUGUGUUGCCAGCAGAGCAAUUAUCAUAGAAUAGUAGGAUAAUAAAUAUUCAUUGGUAGACUGUUGCAGAUCUGACAAUAGAGUCAGAAUAAGUUUUAUUCACAUUUAAAACAGCAAAUUUUUCACAUUAUUAAAAAAUCUAGUUUCCCUUAGAUGUGUUUUUCUGGACAUCUUUUGGUUCUUAGGACAGUGAUGUCAAAGGAGAAUAGGCCUAACCUAGGGGUUAAGAGAACUGCAGCGGUCUGUGUUACUUUAAUGUAUAUCCCUGAGUAACUCACUGGGAUCUGAAUUCUAGGAAAUACCUGCCAAAAGUUUGGGUCAGAGCUCCUAUUUUAGAAAAGCAGUAAUGUGGAAACAGGAUAUUUGGUCUUAUGAAAGGAAGUCUCAGAAUGGCAUCCUCAAAUGACGCCUAGCUUUGGGUAGCUAUUUAAAAAUGAAAAAAGCAAUAGGUCCUAAUCUUGUCAAGGGCAAGCUGUGCAUACCUGUGCUCUGCCAAGUGCUUCAUUGUCAAGAGAUGUCACCUAAGAGCUCUGUGGCACCAUGUUGUUAGCAAGAGAGGCUUCCAACCAUUUGAUUGCAGUAGUUUUACAUGCCCUUUUCUUGACCUUAACUCCAGGAGGAUUAAAAUAAACUGAGAUGAAAACAUGGGUGUUCUUAACCUCCUCAGGAUUUGAUUCAAGAGCAGGAGCCUUAUAGGAUCUGUAUGAUAUGGAUUACAUAUACAGGUCCUUCCCCUUAGCGUUGCUUCAUGUCCAUCCAUGAUGUUUCUGAUCUUGUUAUCAUUCAGCACCUUGCUCUGCAGCAGUAGGAGUGCAGGAGAUGAUGCAGAGUCUGCUGGAAUUUAUCUCAAAUACCACUCAGGGAUCUCAUGAAUCAAAGUCUCAGUUCGUUGCUCGAUAAGGCAGAUACUCACUCCAACCUGAGAAAAUAACUAGAAAUAUGACCUUUCUACAAGCUACCUUCAAACUGAAAUGAAAGUUCUUUAAGAUGAGAUGGUGUCUGUUUUAACAGCUGGACCUGCAUGCCAGGCAGAUACAAAGAAAGCAGAAGAGGACCAUGAGGUGUGGCACCACAACAGGUCUGCCAUGUACUGUGGGAUCUCUUGUUUUCCAUGUAGCAUAAAACUAUGGUACAGCUUCUCACUGCCUACCAUUAAUUUCUUGGGGUGGCUGCCAGCAGGGGAAAAUACACAGAACUUGAUUCUUGUUUUGCAUUUACUUGUUCUGUCUCUUUUCCUCUUACAGAGAUCACACCUAAGUGUGCAGUGAAGAAAUAUUCAGAGCCCCGGGGCUUUGUCUGUUCCUUCCCCACUCAGGUUUGCUAACUCAGUAGCUGGUUUGUUUUGGCCUUCCAAGCAUAAGGAAGGCCUGGAAAUGAAGAAGUGUCUUAUUUUCUUUGCCUCCUCCCACCGCUCUGCUUCACAGUUUUCCUUUAGGCAUGUUCAUCCCUGGUAGUCUCAACAUUUUGAGGAAAAUAAUUGGUCCUGCCAGUCAGAAAUGUAAAGUUUCUCUUCUCAAUCUUUUCUGACUUCCUGUUUUCUCCAUUUCUUCUAUAUUGUUCAGAGUGGGGAAUGUGGACGGCUGGGUGGGACAGAAGCAGGUUCCACGUUGGUUCUGGUGUUUCCUAGCUGUCUGAGCCAACACAAUAAAGCUGGGUCCAUUGACACCUUCAGCAACAUCCGUGUUUAGAUAUGUAUAUAGGAAACCUGGGUAAUAAGGGCUUUCCUAUAAGUGGAUUCCUCUAUAAAUAAAUGUGUGGCAAUUCUCUGUUCUUCAAGAAACACCUCUACCACCGAGCAGCUCUUUCAUUUCAGAAGGAACAUACAGACUUAAGACCCUAUUGUAAGCUGGACAUUUCCCUUCCUUUUGGGAAAUGUCAGCUGUUUAAUUGUAUGGGACUCAUAUUUCAUAUACACUGGAGCCUUCUGGAUUACUUUUUGACACUGAGCUUCUGCUUCAGCCUUCUUCCCAUUUUUUUUCAUGCCCUUCUGAAGCAUUAGAAAACAGCAUUUAAAAAAAAUACUACUUUUUUUUUUUUUUUUAAAGUGAUCUUGCAGGUAAACAAGGUAAUAAACUGUAGCGAGUGGGAGAGCAAACAGUAAAAGAAAUAUAAAGCAGAAUAUAAACAUACUGUAUCAAAUGGAAUAUUAAACAUAACCCUAAACAUACACUAAAUGUAAAAGUAAAAUAAGAAGUGAUUUUUGGUCCAGUGGAUUUUUUGGUCUUAUAGAAUUGUUCAGCAUCUAAGUCAGAAGAGAAUUCAACUGAUGAAAUGCAGCACAAAUGUUAAACAUUACUUACUAGAUGGAAUUUUUCAAAAUCAAGGAGAACAUAAGUUGAAUUUUAAGGAGAUUACAGUUUAGAACUAAAAAUAUUCAAGUAUGGAUGCACAGAAAAAAGUACCACUUCAGCUAUUUUUACUUGCAACCACAUUGCUUUCUCAGAAUUGCUAUUUAAACACUGCUUUAAGAUCUGCAAUGCUAAGCUGAAAGUCCAAAUGUAUAACUAGUCAUGUCGUAAUGAGUUUUCACUGAAAAGACGAGAAUAUCUGUAGGUUUUCAAACUGUUUGGUUAAUAUACUGGUCAAAUAAUUUUAAAUAAAAAGCCACAUCACCUGUUCUUUUAUUUAAGGACAAGAGCAUACCUAUACUUAGUAUAGACAUCAUUGCCAGUGCAUGGAGAUAGGGCACAAAAAUAAUGUACAGUGAGACUCAAUAAGAAUAUACAGGGAAAAGAUGUAGUAAUGACGCUUUAGAAAAGAAGGAUGGUGGAAUUAUUGUUUGUGGCUCUGUAUUUAUUCUGUUGCAUACCAUCAUGCUCAGAUAAUCCUAAUUCCACUGUUUACAGUGCUAGUAGUUGUAAUAUUUAUGCUGUGUCACAGCCUCUGUGUAUUUAUAGGCCUGCAAGUCCUUUUUGCUCAGUUGAGGGACUGAGGUGGCAUGGGAGGUGUUUUCAUGCUACUUGGGGGUGCGUAGCCAUUAUUUUCAGCCCCUCUGGUGUGAUAGGGCUGCUGUUUAGAAACUUUGAAGAAUCUGCUCAAAGGAACCAUAGGAUAAUGAGCACAGGGAAAUCUCAGGCAGAGAUGUGUUAGUUGCUAUUCAGAGACUCAAAGUAAAGUACAUUAGCAGGCACUUUGUAGUAAAUGUGUGCCCAGGGCCUGAUAACCUUCAAAUUUAAGGAUGUAUUUAGGGACUAUCACAUUUAUAACAGAAGAAGAAGACACUUUUAAAAAAUAUACAGAAUGUGUCAGUAAGGCACAAAUGUUCUGGGGUAUGCAUUAUCCUAGAUGAAAAUUAUUCUCUUGAGUGCCUUCCCAUUUUAUCAGGGCAGAUUUAGUCCCUAUCAGAGGGCACCCUGAACCUCUGGGGUUGGCAACAAGCAGGACUUGGGUGAAGUGCUUCCUUCGCUCCUGUAGGAAACAUCAUGGCUGACCACAUGCUUUGCCAUCACAGGGAAAAACACGGAGUUACUCAUGCUCUGAUGUGGUGGACAUCCUCGGGGGCUGGAAAUCAAAGGUCAUAGCCAUGGUUGAGAGGUGGUAUGGUUGCUGAAGCAGAUGCCAUCUACUGUGAAAACACCUCAAAUAAUGAAGUGCUUUUAUGGUCAGUAUUUGGGCUUCAUCCAGUUUUAAAGAGAGACAAGGAGGAGCUUUUCAAUGACUGCACUGGGAGCAAGAUCAACCCCCAGAUGUUUCCAGACCUUUCAAUUUUUUCUCUUUCCUUCCAGCUCUUUUUUCUGCCUUGUAAAUCCAUUUUUGAGUCUCUGCAUUGGGAAACCUAGGGAAAAGAAAAUUCCUUAACAACCUUUGCUUUAUUCUAUUCUUGUGCAUAUAAAAGUGAAGUUUGGGAUACUUCAGUGAAGGAGUCUUGCAGCUACACAAAAGGAAAGCUGACUUUAGCAUUCAUUUACCCCUAUACAUGUAUAGCACCAGCUAUAAACAGUAGGCAAUCUGCAUGUAUGAGGAGUUUCAGGAUUUGAGGAUUACACUGGUAGAGCGGGGGCUUUUCCUUUCAAGUGUGCUGCACUGUAUUUCUAAUAAAUUGUUUAGCCUUUAAUCAAUUGACUUGUGAUUUAAUUGACAUUGACUGCAAUCCUUUUGUUUUUUGCUCUGUUGCAGCUGUAGCUAACACACAUCUUUUGUUUCCCAGGGAAGAAGACUUAUCCAAAGUUCUUAGGUUUUCUUUCUCUUCUCUCAUUGAGUAUUUUGCUGGAGUCAGGAACACAGGUCCCUUAGUUUCAUGGCUAGCAGAUAAUUUGUUUUGUUUAAAAAAACAGUAAAUAUCUGCCAUUAGUGCUGCUGCAACUGCUAGCUAUGAAUAUGAGAAUAUUUCAUAUUUAAAUUAGUUGUGAAAAUGAGACUAAUUAGUUUUAAGUAUUAAUCUAUACCUCAAAAGUCUCAAUGAAGAGAAAAUGUGCCAUUCUGCUGUUAUGUGGCUUAAGAGAGUAAGAUAAAGCUCUGCAUUGCAUGUUGUUUUAAUUUAAAAAUAUUGUAAUUAAUUUUAUCCUGUCUUGGCAAAUGCCUGAAGCAGCAUUUGGCUGUACUAAGGGAGUGUGCUGUUCAUCUCUAUCAGUGUCUUAGCAUUAAAGUGCUUCUGACAAAUAUCUAAGCCUCUUGCACAGGAUAUUGAGGACCUGCUGUUUGAGUCAUACAUUGAGCUUAUUGUCCAGCAUCUCUGUCUUUUAAAGCUGCUAAAGCUGAAAGUUGGUAAUAGUGAUACUGAGCUCUGGUACUUUUCAUCAAAAAACUUCUCUUCAGGUCAUUAAUAAAGAUCAUGAACCACUGAGAGGCUAAACGAUGUAUCUAACCGGUAUCACAUGAGAAGUCACUGUCAGAGCCAGAGAGAAAAGAGGCUCAAGUCACCUGUUCUGACCACAAAACUACACUUACUCCUUACCUGUCAAUCCCUCACUGUGUCUAAUUUGUAUUAGUAUGGUAAAGAAUCUUUGAAAACAUAAGUGUUCAAAACCACUGUUAGGGAAUAAUUUUGUGGCUUUGCCACAAUUUUGUGGCUUUUUUCCUAAACAUUUCUUUUUUGUUAGUGAAGUCAAAGAUUAUUUGCACAGAGCAAAUAUUGUUCCUCUGGACUUUUUUUUCCAGCUCUUUUGUUCCUCUUAUGCAAGAUACCUUCUCUGCUUUUUGACUUCAAACUUUUCUAUGGAAACCGAUUAAGGAGUUGUCAUGUUCCUUGUCUGACAGGAUAAAAUAGCAACUGAAGUCUGGUACCCCACCCAAAAUAAUAUACUGAGGAUGUUUCCUUUCUAUCAAGUUUAAAUGAGAGUAAAAUUGUUAUUGAUCCUGAGUUUUACAGAAGAACGUAUUGGAGAUAUGGCUACACCUUUGCCCAACUUCUUUUCUUUCACCUUACCUUCCUUUCAUCUCUUAACUUGACAUUCUUCCCUCUGAGAGUCUUAACUUCACUGUUUAUCUCUGUAUGAGGCUUUCCACAAUGACAUUUUGGUACAGCUCUUGUGUUUAACCAGCUGGUGUUAUUGUUCCAGGUGCUUCUGAGAAAUACACCAUUAACAUGUUGGGGUAUUUGCUACCAAAGGGCAAUAGUGACCAAGUUAUAAACAGAGACAGGCAUUUCAUGGGAUUUUCAAGUGGCUUGUAUGAGUUAAAGAGAAUUCCACUGACCCUUAGGCUUCCAUAAAACCCACUUCCAGCUUUUUGUACAAGAUUUUUUUCUUAAAACAGGGGACGUUAGUGUAUGGAGUUACAUGAUGAGUAUACCCAGGCACUUCACUGGUAUAUAUGCACUGUACGUGUGUGUAUUUUGAGUCACACAACUCAGAGAGGUGGUAGAUGCCCCAUCCCUGGAGACAUUCAGAGCCAGGCUGGAAGGGGCUCUGAGCAACCGGAUCUAGUUGAAGAUGUCCCUGCUCAUUACAGGGAGGUUGGACUAGAAGAACUUUGAAGGUCCCUUCCAACCCAGACUGUUCUAUGAUUCUAUGAUAUGCCACGGUGCUGCCCUGGUGCCGGGUAAGGCCAUGUAAUCCAUCAAGCAUCCUGCAAGCUAGCAAUUCCCCUUGACUUUGGCAGGAUGUUUGUGAAACAGAUGUCACAUAGUGCUGUGCCAGCAAUAUACAUGGCGGGGGAUUCAGGUUCCACAUAGGAACACUGGAAAAAAGAAGACCUUUUAGGUACUCUCAAACUGAAUAUCUAAAAAACCCAAGAAAAUAAAUUAAAGUGAAGAGGACUAAUUUAUUUAUCUUUUAAUGUAUCAAAUGAACUAAAGCAAAGGUUAAUUUUCUUGUAGUCUGUAAGAAUAACAAUAUGUAGUUUAAUUUCUGAGAUACUGUUUUGGAUUUUUUUUAAUGUAGUCAAAUACUGGAAAGGUUCCAGAUACUUUUUCUUUCCUUAGUGAAACAUUUUGCUGAGUUUGACCCCAAAUCACAAUUGUCCUGAACUUCUAUUUUUUAUUUAUGUAUUUGUAUGUAUUUAUAUAUUUACCAUUCACUGUACUUCUGAAGGGGAUAAUGUUCAGGGUAUGAUGGGGAAACCAGAACAUGAGAGGAAUCAAAGUUCUUGGUGUUUCUAGCUUUUUUAAUUUUAAGAAUUCUCUCUCAGAAUACACUGCCUUGUGUUCAGCAGAGUUCUGGCAAAAUCUCACUUUUCCAAUUUUACUACACUUUCUGGCAAAGCCCCAUUUUAAAAACAUUUCUAUGUGUCUGUGAAUAGCACAAGAAAAAAGUCAAUACUGACCUUUUUGUACCACCUUAUCCCUUCAUUCUGGAAUACAGUGUGUGAUUUUGAAGUUUUUACCAUUGAAACUAUGUAGGGUGCAGUAUGUAUGUCUGCUCUCAGUUUUCUGAGAAGUUUCUUUAGCUGGAUGUGCGUAAUACGACUGUUGAGCAAAGCAUAGGUAAGUGGAGCAGAGUUGGAAUGAUGCAAUAGACUUGAGUGAAGAAACAGAAAUAAUGAUUUAGAAAAGUUUUCUUAGCCUGACUAAUGGGCCUCCUCUUGUCAUUCUUUCUCAGAGGUUGUUGACAUAGUCCUGAGGAGAUGAUGAGCUGUUAAUAGUACUUGUUGGGUGUUUUUUUCCCCUCAUGAAAAUGUAUCUCAAUAGAGAUGGAGAGAACAGUAAUGCUAAAAAUAUGAUGGGUAAGCAGAAUGCUGAACAGAAUGAACUUUAAAAGCUUUCCCCAAAACACUGAUAAAUGAGUUCCUUAAAAUGCUUUAUUUUGAGAGAUAGGGUAGUAUAUUCUUCAUUUUAUUGCACAUCUACCAUGAAGCAAGAUAUGCUUCAUUCGCUAUUUUGCCUGAAGAGUCACUGAUAAAAUCAAAUUUUGUAUCCAAUCUUUCACUGUAAAAUAUUCAAACAUUUUUUCCUGCCAGCACUCACAGAAACAGCUGAAUAGAGUGUCUCCUUCCACUGCCCUUUGUUUAUUUCUGACUUAAUAGGUCCACCAAUAUGGAAAUUGCAACUACUUUUCAUUUUUCGAAUGAACAUUGAUUUUUAAGUAGCUCUUGGAGUUUGUUCUGCACAAACCCUUUAGACUCUGUUAGGUAGCACACUAAUUCAGAUGUUGUAUCCCAAAGAAUGUUAGUAUCCCAAACCAGAGAUACUCUCUUAUUCACAGGGGUAAAGUUAGGCAGGUGAUAUGGUUCUUUGCUGAGUGGGUGACAUGACCUCUGUGAAGGUAAAUGCGGCUGCAGGCAAGAACAGGUCUUUACUGGCAAUACUUUGUGUGGACUGUGUUUCCUGAGGACCAAGAUGAGAUCUGCAAAGGUGAAGGGAACUGUUAAAAGGGUAAGACAAAUCCCAAGAGCGGAUUGAAAAGUAGGUUUUUAUUUUCCUUUUUAUUUUUUUUCCCAGACAUUAAUACUUUUAUUGUAGAGGAACUGGAAGAAAACGCUCGAAUGUUUGAAUCCACUUUGGUAAUAGCAAUGUUAAAUAUCACAAGCAGAUUUUAUGUCUACCCACUCAAGAAGGAAGGUAAAUACAUUUUGGAAUUUCAUAUCCUACUUUGCUGAUCCAGUUAUUUUAUGCUCUGGUGCCUCUGCUACCCAACAGUCUAUUAUAAUUUGUUUUAUUAUUCAGUGGCUUUUGUUGUGUAGUUUGAGAUUAUAUAUAGUAUUGGAAAAAGAAAUGCAUUAGACAUGUGGUGUUCAGCUUGCACACCCUCGUUUCUUUUAUUUCUUUGUUGUGAUAUAUGGAAGAUUUUUCCCUUUAGUUUUCAGAAUCCUGCACAAAUGAAAUAUUAAUGGAAAGGAGCUAUCAAAUGACAGCAGUAGUUAGUGAGCAUUUAAAUUCUUAUACCCAGUACAAAUCUUAAUGUAACCUUUACAUUCCAGAAUAAAAUGUUGAAGUCGGUAGGAGCUACUGUGCUCAACACCUCACUGGGUUGGGCUCUCUGGCAAGCACCACCGUGUUUCUACAGCUCUCACUCUUGUUCUACUCAGAUUUUCCCAGUUUCCCACCCUUUUAUGAUUAUCACCCAAAGCUUUUCCUUUAAAUUAAACAAUUCUUUCACAAGAAAAUAGCUACUGAGGAUUUUAUUUAAAAGUGUUUUUUUUCUGAGCACUUGUUCUUAUGAGCCGGGUCUGCUGCUGAGCUCUGCUGGCCAACUUGCUGCCCCAUUGAUUCCUCCUCAGCAUGGUCCUGGGGCUGGCACAAGGACCUGCAUGAAGUGUUUUCUGAGUUCACCAGACACACCCCAAAGGAGUGUACUGAGGUAUCCUCACUCUUGCUUCAUGCAGUAGUUGCCUAUAGUUUUUCUUAAUUAGUCCUCAGCUAUGGCUAAUGUCAGUCAGCUCCCGAUUGCUCCUCAAAAUGCUGACAAGGGAUCUUUACUGCCUUGAGUUACUGUGGUGGAAAAAAGAGCAGCACCGAGUGACACUUCCACACAUUUCCUUCCUCACCACCAAAUACCAUAACUGAGUCUCACUGUGCUUGUGGUUUCAGCCCAGUAGUCUUAAAUAUGAUACAUAAUGGACAACAGCUUUGUUGUGAGGUUAAAAGUCCAGCAGCUGGAAGGGCUUACUUGAAGGUAUUGCUACAGCUCCUGGGUCUGCGUGGUCUAUCUGCCAGCAUCCAGGAUGUGGGCAAAGCUGGAUUUUUCUCCCUGAAUUUAAUUAUUUGAAAAAUUCACUGUGUGUUCAGGCCAACAGAAUUAUGGAAAUAACACUGUAAAUAUUAUUAUUUUUUUCACCACGGAAAUCAGUUUUCAUAAUUCCAGACACACAUCCAAAUCAAGCAGGAGCUGGUGUGCUCCAUCACUAGAAAGAAAGCAAAAGAGCAAGAGAGAAGUCAGUGUAGGAUGCACACACUUAAUCUGAUUUCAUUAGCUGUAUGAUCUUUAACUAAAGUAGAAAAUCUAGCAAGUCUGUGUAAAGAUACUCUUAUUUGAUUUUAGGAGCUGCCAAUUGUUUUCAUUUUAGCUUAACAGACUGCCUGAAGCUAAAGAAAGUCUGAGCAACAAAAACAGGCUGAAAUGAGAAAAACUAUGAAUUAUGGCAAACACAAUUACUUUGGUGUAACUCUGUGUGUGGACCCAUUUGCUUUCUGGUCGAAGUAUAUAAAAUCAAUUUACUGAAAGUCAAUAGCAAGCUGCCAGGGUGAAUGUUUUUUGUUCUUACAUUAUGUCUUGAACACUUAUACAACCUAUUACUCUUUUCCUUCUGAUAUUCCAUCUGGAACAAGCCUUCUAUAUUUAGCACCUUAAAAAGCAUUAUUUUUAAUUUUAUUUUUAUUUUUAUGUCUCAAAAUAAAUUGCACAAAGUAGAAUUUCAUAUGGAGUGCUAAAAGUCAUCUUAGUUCUUCACUGGUUCAGCAGUCUUCAAAAAAUGUGCUUGACUUUGCCUGAAGGGCUGUACAAUUUAAUGUCGCUGUUGUACCUCUGCAUCUCCAAACUGGUUUUACUCUGUAUAGCUAAAGGCUGCUUCAUUGUGCUUACAUGUUUCUACAUAAACAAGGCAAUUUGACUCCAGACUUCAAAACCAUUAUUGCUAUAUUGUUGUACACAGUGUAGAGAUUAUAAUGUGGGCUGUUAUUUUGUAUUAGAGGUUAAACUUUGGGUUGAUAUCUUCUAAUUGUCUGUUCCUGCUCUCGAAUUUAAUCAACAAAUUUUAUGUGCAUUAAAAUGGAAUUGUAAUUUAAUUUUCUUUACAGCUUUCAUAUUCUCAAGGAGAAUAAUUUGCCAGUUUGAUACAUUUACUUAUUGAUUUCAGUUUGUGUUGCCAGAUGUUCUGCUAUGCCACUUGACGUCUGUAUGCAAAGUAAAUGAAAAAGAAAAUUCAGAGAAAAAACCCAACAAACUAAUGCUAUGUUUUACAAA